UAAGGAAGUUGGAAUACAGUAGGUUUAACACCAAAAUAAAUAAAUAAUGAGUCCAUUACAGUACCUUAUGUGGUGGUUUUGUUUUCUUUCACUAACGGAGCUUAUAAGAUUUCCUGUUGAGUUUUGUGUUGUAAAGUUUUCAACUUUUGGGUAAAGAUUUUAUGGACUAUGGAAUAAAGGGUGGCAAGAGCCUAAGCUUGGGGAUGCCCAUGGCACCCCAAGAUAUUCAAGAAUAGCCAAAAGCCUAAUCUUGGGGAUGCCCCGGGAAGCCAUCCCCUCUUUCGUCUUCGUUCAUUGGUAACUUUACUUGGAGCUAUAUUUUUAUUCGCCACAUGAUAUGUGUUUUGCUUGGAGCGUGGUGUAUUAUAUUAGUCUUUGCUUUUUAUUUUACCACAAUCAUCCUUGCUGUAUACACCUUUUGGUAGAAGCCUAUUUAAUUAGAAUUUGCUAGAAUACUCUAUGUGCUUCACCUAUAUGUUUUGAGCUUGAUAGUUUUUGCUCUAGUGCUUCACUUAUAUCUUUUAGAGCACGGUGGUGUCUUAAUUUUGAAGAAAUUAUUAGUCUCUCAUGCUUCACUUAUAUCAUUUUGUGAGUCUUUUAGAACAGCAUGGUAUUUGCUAUGGUUAAAAUUUGGUCCUAGAAUGAUGAGCAUCCAAGUUGGGUAUAAUAAAAACUAUCGUAGAAAGUGAAUUGGAGGCUAUGAUCAAUUUGAUGCUUGAUAAUUGUUUUGAGAUAUGGCGGUAGUGAUAUUAAAGUUAUGCUAGUUGGGUGAUUACGAAUUUAAAGAAUGCUUGUGUUGAAGUUUGUGAUUCCCGUAGCAUGCACGUAUGGUGAACUGCUUUGUGAUGAAGUUGGAGCACAAUUUAUUUAUUGAGUGUCUUCCUUAUGAGUGGCGGUCGGGGACGAGUGAUGGUAUUUUCCUACCAAUAUAUUCCCCUAGGAGCAUGCGCGUAGUGCUUUGUUUUUUGAUGACUUCUAAAUUUUUGCAACAAGUAUAUGAGUUCUUUUGACUAAUGCUGAGUCCAUGGAUUACCUUUCCAUCAUUGCUAGCCUCUCUUGUACCGUGCAACUUUCACCGGUACCAUACACCCACCAUAUACCUUCCUUAAAACAGCCACCAUACCUACCUAUUAUGGCAUUUCCAUAGCCAUUCCGAGAUAUAUUGCCAUGCAACUUUCCACCGUUCCGUUCAUAUGACACACAUUACUUUUGUCAUAUUGCUCUUUGCAUGAUCAUGUAGUUGACAUUGUAUUUGUGGCAAGGCCACCUUCAUAAUUUUCAUACAUGUCGCUCUUGAUUCAUUGCAUAUCCCGGUACACCGCCAGAGGCAUUCAUAUAGAGUCAUACCUUGUUCUAGCUUUGAGUUGUAAUUCUUGAGUUGUAAAUCCAUAAAAGUGUGAUGAUUUUCAUUAUUAGAGCAUUGUCCUAGUGAGGAAAGGAUGAUGAAGACUAUGAUUCCCCCACAAGUCGGGAUGAGACUUCAGACUUUACCAAAAAAAAGAAAAAAAAGGGGAAAAAGAGAAAGGCCAAAAAGAAAAAAAGGAAGGCCAAAGAAAAAAAAAGAAAAAAAGAAGAGAAAAAAAGAAAAAAAAAGAAAAAUGAGAGAAAAAGAGAGAAGGGACAAUGCUACUAUCUCUUUUUCCACACUUGUGCUUCAAAAUAGCACCAUGAUCUUCAUGAUAGAGAGUCUCAUAUGUUGUCACUUUCAUAUACUAGUGGGAAUUUUUCAUUAUAGAACUUGUCUUGUAUAUUCCAAUGACGGGCUUCCUCAAAAUGCCCUAGGUCUUCGUGAGCAAGCGAGUUGGAUGCACACCCACUUAGUUUCUUUUGUUGAGCUUUCAUAUAUUUAUAGCUCUAGUGCAUCCGUUGCAUGGCAAUCCCUACUCACUCACAUUGAUAUCUAUUAAUGGGCAUCUCCAUAGACCGUUGAUACGCCUAGUUGAUGUGAGACUAUCUUCUCCUUUUUGUCUUCUCCACAACCACCAUUCUAUUCCACAUAUAGUGUUAUGUCCAUGGCUCACGCUCAUGUAUUGCGUGAAAGUUGAAAGAUUUUGAGAUUAUUAAAGUAUGAAACAAUUGCUUGGCUUGUCAUCGGGGUUGUGCAUGAUUAAAUACUUUGCGUGAUGAACAUAGAGCAACAACCAGACUAUAUGAUUUUGUAGGGAUAACUUUCUUUGGCCAUGUUAUUUUGAGAAUACAUGAUUGCUUUGAUUAGUAUGCUUGAAGUACUACUAUUUCUUAUGUCAAUAUAAAAUUUUAUUUUGUAUCAUUUGGAUCUGAUCAUUCAUGCCACAAUAAAGAAAAUUACAUUAUAAAUUAUGCUAGUUAGCAUUCCACAUCAAAAAUUUCUUUUUUAUCAUUUACCUACUCGAGGACGAGCAGGAAUUAAGCUUGGGGAUGCUUGAUACGUCUCCAAUGUAUCUAUAAUUUUUGAUUGUUCCAUGCUAUUAUAUUACCCCUUUUGGAUGUUUAUGGGCUUUAUUUUACACAUUUAUAUCAUUUUUGGGACUAACCUACUAACCGGAGGCCCAGCCCAUAUUGAUGUUUUUUUACCUAUUUCAGUAUUUCGAAGAAAAGGAAUAUCAAACGGAGUCCAAACAGAAUGAAACCUUCGGGAGCGUGAUUUUUGGAACGAACGUGAUCCGGAGGACUUGGAGUGCAAGUCAAGAAGCAGCCGAGGCUCCCACGAGAUAGGAGGGCGCGCCCCCCUAUAGGGCGCGCCCCCUGUCUCGUGGGCCCCUCGGGCGGCCACCGACGUACUUCUUCCUCCUAUAUAUACCUACGUACCCUGAAAACAUCCAAGAGGCGGACGAAACACAAUUUCCACCACCAUAACCUUCUGUAUCCGCGAUAUCUCAUCUUGGAGCCUUCGCCGGCACUCUGCCGGAGGGGGAAUCGACCACAGAGGGCUUCUACAUCAACAUCCUUGCCCCUCCAAUGAGUUGUGAGUAGUUUACCACAGACCUACGGGUCCAUAGUUAUUAGCUAGAUGGCUUCUUCUCUCUUUUUGGAUCUCAAUACAAUGUUCUCCCCCUCUCUUGUGGAGAUCUAUUCGAUGUAAACUCUUUUUGCUGUGUGUUUGUCGAGAUCCGAUGAAUUGUGGGUUUCUGAUCAAGUUUAUCUAUGAAUUAUAUUUGAAUCUUCUCUGAAUUCUUUUAUGUAUGAUUGAGUUAUCUUUGCAAGUCUCUUCGAAUUAUCAGUUUGGUUUGGCCUACUAGAUUGAUAUUUCUUGCCAUGGGAGAAGUGCUUAGCUUUAGGUUCAAUCUUGCAGUGUCCUUACCCAGUGACAGAAAGGGUUGCAAGGCACGUAUUGUAUUGUUGCCAUCGAGGAUAACAAGAUGGGGUUUAUAUCAUAUUGCUUGAGUUUAUCCCUCUACAUCAUGUCAUCUUGCUUAAUGCGUUACUCUGUUCUUAUGAACUUAAUACUCUAGAUGCAGGCAGGAGUUGGUCGAUGUGUGGAGUAAUAGUAGUAGAUGCAGGCAGGAGUCGGUCUACUUGUUAUGGACGUGAUGCCUAUAUACAUGAUCAUGCCUAGAUAAUCUCAUAAUUAUUCUCUUUUCUAUCAAUUGCUCGACAAUAAUUUGUUCACCCACCGUAAUACUUAUGCUAUCUUGAGAGAAGCCACUAGUGAAACCUAUGGCCCCCGGGUCUAUAUCUUAUCAUAUUUGCUUCCAAUCUACUUUUAUUUGCAUCUUUACUUUUUGCAUCUAUAUUAUGAAAUACCAAAAAUAUAUUUAUCUUAUCUUACUAUCUUUAUUAGAUCUUACUUUCACAAGUGGUCGUGAAGGGAUUGAUAACCCCUUUAUUGCGUUGGUUGUGAGUUCUUUGUUUGUUUGUGUAGGUGCGUGGGACUUUUGAGGAGCCUCCUACUGGAUUGAUACCUUGGUUCUCAAAAACUGAGGGAAAUACUUACGCUACUAUUCCUGCAUCACCCUCUCCUCUUCGAGGAAAACCAACGCAAGCUCAAGACGUAGCACGUCGCCGUCUCGCUCUUUAGCAUACAUUGCCACAUGGCCCUCACCGUCCUCGAAAUAUCCCACUCAUUGUCAAACCAAGUAAGAAUCUCCUUCAACCUGGCUAACUUUGCCUGGUCGCCGCCGGCGAUCUUCCUGAUUCGCUGCUGCAUCCUCUCCAUAGAUGUCCUUCUGAGUGGUUUGGUGCUAGCUUUGGAAGAUGGGAGGAGAGACGGUGGUCUUGCAAUAGAGAAGAGGGAAAGGCGAGACGGUGUUUUGUUAUGGAGAUGAUGGAGAGGAGAGGAGGUGGUUUUGCAAUGGAGAAGAGGGAGAGGCGAGAUGGUGGUUUUGCAAUGGAGAUGAUGGAGAGGAGAGGAGGUGGUUUUGCAAUGGAGAAGAGGGAGAGGAGCAUGCGGCAGCUAUUUAGGAUUGGACUAGAGGGCCGGCGCGCUGUGAGUGGAUCAAAAUCAAAAUCAAUUUACCCUUCAAUUAAGAAAGCGACCCCACAUUAACUAGUCUCCCUUUUAUUCUGGGUCAUAAUUGACCAUGAUUUUCACAAAUAAAAUAUGUGUUAUACGUUGCAAAAAUAAUAUAAUUUGAAAGUACAUUCAUAUACGAACCAAACGAUACAAUUUUUGGUGACAUGCAUUCACAUUUUGCUUGUCAAAUACAGUACAUGGUCAAACUUUGACCCAAAAUACACAAAAAAAAUACUUCCAAGACUAGCGCCGCUCUUCCGCUCUUCGCCUCUUAGACCACCACCGCUCCUCUCCUGUUCCAAUCUAAAUCCAGCGCCGCUCCUCUCCUCUUCCAUUUCAAAACCACCUCCCCUCCUCUCCUGUUCCAAUCCAAAACCAGUGUCGCUCCCCUCCCGUUCGAAUCCAAAACCAGCGCUGCUCCUCUCCUCUUUAAUUCAAAAACCACCACCGGCGAGUGAAGGUGCUGCGGAGAAGUAGAUCGAUGGAGGAGUACAACCGAUACGUGAGGAUCACAGACGGCGACCCUGUGAAGCUAGCUAGGAUGUUGGAGAUACAGUAUUGGUUUGACAACAAGGACCAACUAGCGGCGACGGCGACAUUCAUGGCCAAAUAUCUGCAAUAGAGCGAAAUGGCGGUGAUACUCCCGGAGGGAGUCGUGCUGGAGUACAUAGAGCUGCUCCUCUAGGCCAUGGAGCAAACAUAUUGACUGAAUCCGAUCGUGAGGGAGCGGUGGCAGGAGUAUCAAUCCCAGAUGGAGCAUCCACCAGAGAUUGAAGGAUCGGGCAUCUACAGGGUGCCGUUUGUGAGGGUCUCAUGCCAGAGCGAGCCGGUGGAGUCUUCGUCGACCGAACCCAACUACAAGAGGAGAAAAGCAGUUGGCCCGACGACGAUUCCCCGCCAUCCUCUCCCUCGCCGUUCACAUCGUCUCACGGGGCGGCUAUCUGCUGCCGAGGAAUAGGAGGGGACUGCCCCCAGCCCAAUAGUCGGGCAGGUUGUGAAUUAUCAGGAGGAGCUUAGGAUUGUCAGUAUUUGCAGGUUGUGAAUUGUGUUUUGUGUUGUGUAUUUUGAGAGUACUUUCAGAUAUGAAUGUCUUUUUGAAUUUCAGAUUUGCAGUAUUGAGCAUAUGAAGUAUUUUAUGAAUUCUAGAGAUCUAUUUUUAGCACUUAAAAAAUGUAGUUUCAUAGGAGUAUAAAAGUGCAGACAAUGUGAUUCUCAGAGAAGAAACUGCAAGUUUCAGUUUCAGAUAAGAAACUGCAACUUUCAGAGACAGAGCAUUUAUAUUAACACGACCUUUUCAAACAGGGUUAACAUCAUAUUGGAAGUUUUAUUCAUGGUCAAAAAUUGGACUACCGGCCAGCUAACAUCAUGCUGAUCAACAUUCAUGCAUAGCAAAUCUUCAUAUGAUGCAUAGUCAAAAAGAUAUGCUAUUUUCAAAAUGCACACACAAUGUCGAGUGUGCGAAACACAGAGAAAACGAGGGACGGACUUUUGGCAAGUGUUGGACGUGGUGUGCGUAGAUGACAAUGGGGACCCACAUGUCAAUAAAGGCAGGGGCAAAAAAUUUGGAGAUAUUUUCCCUGCACAGGUGGAAUCGAACCCAGGUGGAACAGCUGUCGGGUAGUGUCACUUGGCCACUAGGCUAGUUCAGUAGUUUCGUUACUAAUAAGGCACUUCCUCAGGUGGUCGGAUCCCCUCCUGCGCCUUUGUGCGCUCGCCGCGACGCUGCUGUCUGCCAUUGUGAACAUGCUGAACAAACGAGAGGAAUCUGGAGACGGCUGUACGUGGAGAGGCGGACAGUCGGGAUCCACCAGGUCUAUGGCCGUACGCAAGCAAGUGCCUCAUCGAAAAAAAUACUUCCUCCUAAUGCUAUACUGACGUUGGGGCCCAUAGGUUUGUCAAUAUAGUUACAUUUUCUAGGUGCUUCAACGUAGUUACUAUAGGAGAUAAAUUCACAAUGAAGCCGGGGAGCUGGCAUGUAUCAUUUAUUAUCACUGGGGCAGCAAGUAUCAGCUGGGUUUUGGGCUGCUCCGUCUAGGCUUUCUUUUUUAGCAUGCGCAGCCCACGACCUCGGAUGGGAGGUCCAUAGGCCUGUUUGUAUUUUCUUGAGGGCCGUCAUGUAUCGGCCGGCCUAUGGACCUCCCAUCCUAGGUUUUAUUUUUCCUGAAACAUCGGCAACCCAAUUUAUGUAUUUUUUUUGAAGAAAACGCAGAGGUCUAUUCUAUUUUUCUAUAUAAGAAUAGGAACGCCUGGUCCAACUUAUGUUCCCCUUCUAACUAUAUUAUAUAUAUUUAAAUUAUUUUAUAUGUUAUUAUAUAUUAUUUUUAUUGUCAUCAUAUAUUUAAAAGAUACUUACAUAUGUAAGAAAAUAAUAUCCCACAUCUUAUUAACUUAUAAAAAUAAUUUCUUAACAAUAAAAUCCUGGAUUUUUUGGCACGAAAAUCCUAGUGAUUGUGUACAAAAGCUUGGUAAGAUUUAAGGACGACUGUAAUAAUGAAUCACUUAUUAUUAAAUAUAUUUAUAACAAAAUGCUCAGCCCCUGUUUAUUUUUUGAUAAUAUUGCUGGCCCAACCCAACAUUAUAAUUAGAAUCAGCCCAGCAAAAUCGUGUAUUUCGAGAAAGUGCACAUGGCCUGCAAUUUUUUAGGAAAAAAAAUAAAUGGGCCGCAUGGACGCUACAUUAUUUGUUCACCCAGCCCAGCUAAUGGACUGUAAUUCAAAAAAAAGAUCAAAUUGACUGUAAAUUCUACCCCACAAAAAAAGACUAUAAAUUCUGAAAAAAUGGGUUGAAUACGUGCCACAUUUUUGGAGGCUGAAAUGUGGGCCAAUAGGUCGACGCCAACGCAAGUCGUUGUCAACUUAGUCAACAAAUGAUUCUGACAUCGUUAGCCGUUGGAUUUAUAUCCAAUGACCGGCAUCCAUCUUCAAUCUCUUGUCUUCUUCCUCUAGCGCCGCCGGGACCACCUCCCGCCUCCUGCUGCUAGCAGCUCUGCUUAGCACGCUUCACUAUGAAGCGCUACUCUACCGUUGGCCAGGCGAUCCCUCCACCCCUCCACACCUCUUGUUCUUCUCCACCGACUACCGGACCACACCGCACCAGAACCAGUUAACCCUCGUACACCUCUCCGUCUGCGACUCUACUCCCGCGUCUUCCCUUCUCUGGCCCGUUGCUGUCCGGGGCCUCGUCGUCGUCCACCACCUUGGAUGCGCUCGGCGCGAUGUGGUCAACGAACGACACCAUCAGAAGUAGACUGUGCGUGGAGAGGCUGACAGCUGGGUCCACGGCCGCACGCAAAGAAAUGCCUCCUUCUUUCGUGCAAAAUAAUGAUUCCUCCACCUGACAGCUGGGACCCACAGGAAGGGCCUCUGUAUUUCAUGAAAAAACAUUCCCCCCGCUGACAGGUCGGACCCACCAGCUAUAUCUUAGCACGCAAGGAAGUGCCUCCUUAUUACGCACAAAAAAAUGAAUACCCCCUUGCUAGCUGGGACCCCACAUAGUGGGAGGCUGACUUGUGGGCCAACUAAGUUGACGGGGACGGAGGGCUUUGUCAACUUAGUCAAUAUGAAUGAUUCUAGCUCUAGUGACCGUAUGAUGUCCAUCCAAUGGCCGUAGUACUUCUUCAACCUCUGGUCUUCUUGCUCCAGCCACCCAAACCAGCGCCGGUCGUGCUGCAUGCUCCUGCCUUCCAUGGCCGUCUAUGAUGCCGCGGAGGCCUCACCGCCCCCUACUACUCCCACUGCUGGCCAGGCCAUCCCUCUACUCACACACACCCCCUGUUAUUCUGUGCCGACGACAGCCUCACACCGCAGCCGAACCAGUGAACCCUCAUACUCCUCUACGCGUGGGCAUCCACUGCCGCAUCUUCCUCGGCUCCAUGUCGUCCCCUUCCUAGGCCUCGCCAUCGUCCACCGCCCUGGUGCUCUCGAUGCGGCGUGGUCAACGUGGUCAAGGAACGACUUCCAUCGGAAGAGUACUGUACGUUGAUAGGCUGACAGCUGGGUCCAGGGCAGCCGCAAGGAAUUGGCUCCUUAUUACACGCAAAAUUAUUAUUCCUCCACCUGACAAUAGGGACCCACCGGACUGGCCACUGUAUUCUGCGAAAAAAACAUUUCCCCCCUCACUGCUGGGACCCACUAGCUACAUCUUCGCACACAAGGAAGUGCGUCCGGUCAAAAAACCCAAUUCACCCCCUGACUGCUGGGACCCACCAGCUACAUCUUCGCACGCAAGGAAGUGCCUGACAGUCGGGACCUACCUGGUCGAAGCGUACAUAGCGUUGUCAUUCUGGUCGCGAACGUGUACAUACAUACUGGUCGAGGUAGAGGCACGCAGGUGUCGUAGUAGAGGUGCACACAUAGCAUGUACAUGUACGUAUAGCGGCCAGUGUGCAAGAAAGAAAAUACGGCCACGUACGUACAUACAGGCGGGGUCUCGAACGCCUACUCGUGCAUACGUACGGCCAGGGCUCAUGUACAUGGCUGGGUCGGAAUGGAGAAACUGCGUCAUCAUCGUGUUCAUGGGGAGGCAACGAAAUGCGUCGUGUUCAUCGGGAGGCAACGGAACGUGUGGGAGCCAACCGGCUUGGACGGAACAGUCAAUGGAAACGAGGCCUGGCGUACCACACAACGGAGGAAAUGGCCUUGUGUUCGACCAGUCACAUUCGAAAACGGGAUCUUGUUCAUCGGGAGGAGUCUGGCAUACCGCAAAACGGAGGAAACAGACUUGUGUUGGACCUCUUACGGUCGAAACAGGGUCCUGUUGAUCGGGAGGGGUGUGGCGUACCGCAAAACGGAGGAAACGGACUUGUAAUGGAGCGCUAUGGUCGGAACGGGGGUCCUGUUCAUCGGAAGGGGUGUGGCGUACCACAAAACGGGACUCCACGGGAUACUGUUCAUCUCCAUCGUCCAUCUCCUCCAGCCUCCACGGGCUACUGUUCAUCCACCAUCAACCUCCUCCAGCCUCCACAAGCAUCUAUUCAUGCACGGGCUCCUGUUCAUCCAGCCUCCAUCGCGCGCUACUCCACCGGCUACUGUUCAAUCAUCGCUCUCCACGGGCUCCUAUUCAACCACCCCUCCACGGGGUACUGUUCAUCCAGCCCUCCACCGUCUACUGUUCAUCUAGCUCUCCACGGGGUCGUCCUAUUCAUACAACCCUCCACAGGGUCCUGUUCAUCUAGCCCCUACCGGUUCGAUCGAUCGGGGUCCUGUUCAUCUAGAGGCAACACCACGGGGUCCUGUUCAUCCACCCCCACCGGGAACUGUUCAUCCAAACCACCCAGCAACGCUCAUUGUCUAUCCAGAGGCAGCAUCGAUCGACUUCAGUUAGCAGCAGUAGUGAAGGAAUCGCUCGAUCACUCGGGUUCAGUAACGCAUAGACUGUAGUGCAAUCGCUAGGUUUAGUUAGGUGACGCCUCGCUCGGGUUCAGUUAGAGCCCAACGCCUCGCACCCACGCGCGUACGGUACAAGAGAAACGUGCGUCGCUCGGCCCCCGACCACCCACCAUAACCGGGAACUCCCCGAAAUUUUUCUCGCCCUCGCUUCUACCACGGUUUUUCCCAUCAUGGACGACCCAAAGAAUGUCAUGCAGCUGCGUCUUCGGCCCGCCCAGGACGAAAAACCCAUUUUCUGUCAUGAUUUUUUGUCAUAGUAGUAGGAGCCCACCACAUCUAUGAUGAUACCUUAUUUUGUCACAAUUAUCAUCAUAGAAGUGUCAUAAGUAUGAAAGAAAAAAAUUCGUUCAUCCCAAAAUGUCAUGGAUGUGUCUUUUUUUGUAGUGCUAUUCGAUGUAAUCUUCUUUUGCGAUGUGUUUGUUGAGAUCUGAUGAAUUGUGGAUUUAUGAUCAGAUUAUCUAUGAAUAUUAUUUGAGUCUUCUCCAAACUCUUUUAUGCAUGAUAAAGAUAGCUUUGUAUUUCUCUCCAAUCUAUUGAUUUGGUUUGGCUAACUAGAUUGAUCUAUCUUGCAAUGGGAGAGGUGCUUUGUUUUGGGUUCAAUCUUGCAGUGUCCUCACCUAGUGACAAUACGAGUAGUGAGGCACGUACUGUAUUGUUGCCAUUAAGGAUAAAAAGAUGGUUUUUUUACCAUAUUGUUUGGAUCUAUCCCUCUACAUCAUGUCAUCUUGCUUAAGGCAUUACUCUGUCCUUGUUAACUUAAUACACUAGAUGCCUACUUGGUAGCGGUCGAUGUGUCGAGUAAUAAUAGUAGAUGCAGAAUCAUUUCGGUCUACUUAUCAGGGACGUGAUGCCUAUAUUCAUGAUCAUUGCCUUAGAUAUCGUCAUAACUAUGCACUUUUCUAUCAAUCGCUCAACAGUAAUUUGUUCACCCACCAUAUGCUUUCUUCAAAAGAGAAGCCUCUAGUGAAACCUAUGGCCCUCGGGUCUAUUUCCUAUCAUAUUAUUUUCAGAUCUAAAAAACCAAAAAUCCAAAAAUACCUUGCUGCAAUUUAUUUAUCUUUACUUUAUUUUACACUUUAAGUUAUCUUUUAUAACUAUCUCUAUCAGAUCUCACUCUUGCUAGUGAUCGUGAAGGGAUUAACAACCCCUUUUUCGCGUUGUGUGCAAGUGUUUGUUAGUUUGUGCAGGUGCAUCUAUUGGGGACUUGGUUGUGCCUCCUACUUGAUUGAUACCUUGGUUCUUAACUGAGGGAAAUACUUAUCUCUACUUUGCUUCAUCACCCUUUCCUCUUCAAGGAAAAAUCAACGCAAGCUUAAGAAGUAGCAGGAAGAAUUACUGGCGCCGUUGCCAGGGAGGUUCUACAUCAAGCCUACCAAGUACCUAUCAUAAAUUAUCAUCUCUUGCACUUACAUUAUUUGCCAUUUGCCUCUCAUUUUCCGCUCCCCCACUUCUAAAACAUUUUCAGAAAAACACAAAAUUAUUUUCCUUUUUAUUCUCCUUCUUUUCAUUCGCCUUUUUGUUCGUCUUUUCGUUUGCUUUUUGUUUGCUUGUGUGCUAGAUCGCUUGCUUGCCAUCAUGUCUGAAUCUGGGGAGAUAAUCAUUGAAGAAGGUAGUAAUAAUCUAGAGGGAAAUUUUGAUGAUUUUGCUAAUGAUGAUCCUCAUGAGGAAGAACCUACUACCAUGCAAACUAAAAAAUUCCGUAUAGGUAGGGGUAAUAUUAUUGGAAAAGGUGUUAUUCGAGAUUUCUUUGCUUGUGCAGGUGCGUUACCUAUGCUAGGACAGUCGAUUCUUAACAAAACCGAUAGCCUUGCGGAUGCAAUGUGUUUGCUUAUAGUUAAACUUGAAACACAAUUUGUUCACAUGCAUCCAUGCAUACGAAGGAUUUUUCUAGAAUUUUCUAAUAUUCACAAUCCUUCCGUUAAGCGUGUUGUCACUAUUUCCAGCUCCUGAAUUUGGGCACAUCACAAAAGAAGCUAGUGAAAUAUUUGCUCAUUAUAAUAUCAACGGUGGUUGCCCUCCUAUUGAGGAUAUCCUUUUUAAUCAAGAGGAGACUAGGAGAUUACAAUCUCCAGAUUAUUCUGCUUAUAAUGAAAGUCUAAGGAAGAGGGUUCCUACCGAUGUUUUGAUUGAUAAGACUCCUUAAGUCAAUGAUAACUUUGCUAUACAAAAUAACGGAUUAGGGUUUGUGCUUAGAGAUAGACUUAGGGAGUUCAAUCAAAGGAAUGUUUUUAAUGAAGAGAUAAUUAUCAAUUGCAAAGGGCCAAAGAGGACCCUAUUACUCCCAAACUUGAUCUUAUAGAUCCAUACCCUAUUAAAUUUAACCCCAUUGAUUAUUUUUGCUUACCACAAAGAAAGCUUGCUGCUGAAAGGAGGGAGUAUGAGAUGAGCAUGGAUGAUCUCCCUCACUUAUAUUACAAUACCUAGAUCUAUGCAUUAUGCCUAGCUAGGGGCACUAAACAAUAGCGCUUGUUGGGAGGCAACCAAUUUUAUUUUAUGUUUUUGUUUUUUGCUUCUAUUCUUGAAUAAAUAUGCAAUAUUACUUCUGUAAUAAUUGUGUUUUAGUGUUUUAAUUAGUGUUUGAGCCAAGUAAGACCUUUGGGAUGAUCUAUGGUGAUAGUUGAUUUGAUUUUGCUAAAAAACAGAAACUUUUGCAUCCAGUAGCAGAAUUGUUAAAAUUCAUUGGAGCGUGAUAAAAUUCUGAAUUGUUUACACAAGAUUCAUAUACAAAUUUCCUCUAUUUUUCUAAUUUUUCAGAAUUUUUGGAGUUACAAAACUAUGGAUAAAGUCCAGAUUACUACAGACUAUUCUGUUUUUGACAAAUUAUGUUUUCAUUGUGUUGUUUGCUUAUUUUGAUGAAUCUAUGGGUAGUAUCGGGGGUUGUGAACCAUGGAGAAGUUAGAAUACAGUAGAUAUAACACAAAUAUAAAAUUGGAAUGAGUUUACAAGAGUCUUAACAAUAUAAACGUGUGUUUGGAUAUAGCACUCAUCCAUGAAUACCUCAACAAUCUUUUCAGAAAAGUCGGAGAAUAUAACACUCAUACAUCUUUGGAAGGUAAAAGGUGCAUUGCAUAAACCAAAAGGCAUACGUCUAUAAGCAUAAGUUCCAAAAAGGCAAGUACAAGUAGUUUUCUCUUGAUCUUCUUUUGACACAGGUAUUUGAGAAAAAACCAGAAUUUCCAUCAAGGAAACAAAAGUGUGUGUGCUUAGAUAAUCUUCCUAAAAUUUGAUCAAUAAAAGGCAAGGGGUAAUGAUCUUUUCUAGUUGCUUUAUUUAAUUUCCUGAAAACAAUUGCAAUCCUAUAACCCGUUACAAUUCUUUGUGGGAUAAGUUCAUUUUUAUCGUUAGGAACAACGGUUAUGCCUCCUUUCUUAGGAAAACAAUGAACAAGAUUUACAAAUCUACUAUCAGCUCUAGGAUAAAUUAUACCUGCCUCCAUAAGCUUUAAUAUUUCAGUCCUUACCACUUCUUUAAUUUUAGGAUUCAGACGGCAUUGAUGAUCAACAACCGGUUUCGCAUCAGGCUCCCUAUUAAUCUUGUGUUGACAUAAAGUGGGACUAAUGCCCUUAAGAUCAUCAAGAGUAUAUCCAAUAGCAGCAUGGUGCUUCUUCUGAGUUUUGGGUAAUUUCUUUUCUUCAUUCUAUGAAAGGUUAGCACUGAUGAUAACAGGAUAUAUCUUCUUUUCAUCAAGAUAAGCAUACAUUAAUGUAUCAGGUAGUUUCUUUAAUUCAAACAUGGGGUCACUCUUAGGUGGAAGAGGAUCUCAGAGUGUCAACAAACAAAUUGUGCUUAAGGAUAGGUGCUUGUUUAAAGAAUAUCUCAUCUAUUUCAUUUCUUUCAUUCAUAUGCAUAUCAUUUUCAUGGUCUAGCAUAUAUUGUUCUUACCGACUAGUAGGAGGUACGACAAUGGAAGCAAGUGAAGGAAAUAUGCCCUAGAGGCAAUAAAAGUUAUUAUUUAUUUCCUUAAUUCAUGAUAAAUGUUUAUUAUUCAUGCUAGAAUUGUAUUAACCGGAAACUUAGUACAUGUGUGAAUACAUAGACAAAACCUAUAGUCCCUAGUAUGCCUCUACUUGACUAGCUCGUUAAUCAAAGAUGGUUAAGUUUCCUAACCAUAGACAUGGGGUCACUCUUAGGUGGAAGAGGAUCUCAGAGUGUCAACAAACAAAUUGUGCUUAAGGAUAGGUGCUUGUUUAAAGAAUACCUCAUCUAUUUCAUUUCUUUCAUUCAUAUGCAUAUCAUUUUCAUGGUCUAGCAGAUAUUGUUCUUACCGAUUAGUAGGAGGUACGACAAUGGAAGCAAGUGAAGGAAAUAUGCCCUAGAGGCAAUAAUAAAGUUAUUAUUUAUUUCCUUAAUUCAUGAUAAAUGUUUAUUAUUCAUGCUAGAAUUGUAUUAACCGGAAACUUAGUACAUGUGUGAAUACAUAGACAAAACCUAUAGUCCCUAGUAUGCCUCUACUUGACUAGCUCGUUAAUCAAAGAUGGUUAAGUUUCCUAACCAUAGACAUGUGUUGUCAUUUGAUGAACGGGAUCACAUCAUUAGCAGAAUGAUGUGAUGGACAUGACCCAUCCGUUAGCUUAGCAUUAAGAUCGUGUUAGUUUCAUUGCUACUGCUUUCUUCAUGACUUAUACAAGUUCCUCAGACUAUGAGAUUAUGCAACUCCCGAAUAUCGGAGGACACUUAGUGUGCUACCAAACGUCACAACGUAAAAGGGUGAUUAUAAAGGUGCUCUACAGGUGUCUCCGAAGGUGUUUGUUGGGUUGGCAUUGAUCGAGAUUAGGAUUUGUCACUUCGUGUUUCGAAGAGGUAUCUCUGGGCCCUCUCGGUAAUACUAAUCACUAUAAGCCUUGCAAGCAUUGUGACUAAUGAGUUAGUUGCGGGGUGAAGUAUUACAGAAUGAGUAAAGAGACUUGCCGGUAACGAGAUUGAACUAGGUAUUGAGAUACCGACGAUCGAAUCUCAGGCAAGUAACAUACCGAUGACAAAGGGGACAACAUAUGUUGUUAUGCGAUUUGACCGAUAAAGAUCUUCGUAGAAUAUGUAGGAACCAAUAUGAGCAUCCAGGUUCCGCUAUUGGUUAUUGACCGGAGACGUGUCUCGGUCAUGUCUACAUAGUUCUCAAACACGUAGGGUCCGCAUGCUUAAAGUUUGGUGACGAUCUGCAUUAUGAGUUUAUGUGUUUUGAUGUACCGUAGGUAGUUUGGAGUCCCGGAUGUGAUCACGGACAUGACGAAGAGUCUCUAAAUGGUCGAUACAUAAAGAUUGAUAUAUUGGAAUGCUAUAUUCGGACACUGGAAGAGUUCUGGGUGAUUUCGGAGAAAACCGGAGUGCCGAAGGGGUUAGCGAAAUUCCCCGGGGAAGUAUUGGGCCUUAGUGGGCCUUAGGGGAGAGAGAAGGCAGCAGCCCAGGAGGUGGCGCCCGCCCCAAGGGGAGUCUGAAUUGGACUAGGGGAAGGGGGCGCGGCCCCUCUUUCCCUCUCCCUCUCCCUCUCCUUCCUUCGCCCUUCCUCCUCCUAGCUGGACUAGGAAAGGAGGAGUCCUACUCCUACUAGGAGGAGGACUCCUCCCCUCCUUGGCGCGCCCCAAGGGCCAGCCAGCCUCCCCCUUUCUCCUUUAUAUACGGGGGCAGGGGGCACCCUAGAACAUACAAGUAGUUGACAUUGUUUAGCCGUGUGCGGUGUCCCCCUCCAAAGUGACACACCUCGGUCAUAUCGUCGUAGUGCUUAGGUGAAGCCCUACGCCGGUAACUUCAUCAUCACCAUCACCACGCCGCCGUGCUAACUAAACUCUCCCUCGGUCUCAACUGGAUCAAGAGUAUGAGGGACGUCCCCGAGCUGAACGUGUGCUGAUCGCGGAGGUGCCAUACAUUCGGUACUAAGAUCGGUCAGAUCAUGAAGACAUAUGACUACAUCAACCGCGUUGUCAUAACGCUUCCUCUUUCGGUCUAUGAGGGUAUGUGGACACACUCUCCCCUCUCGUUGCUAUGCAUCACCAUGAUCUUGCGUGUGCGUAGGAAAUUUUUGAAAUUACUGCAUUCCCCAACAGUGGCAUCCGAGCCAGGUUUAUGCGUAGAUGUUAUAUGCACGAGUAGAACACAAAGAGUUGUGGGCGAUAAUAGUCAUACUACUUACCAGCAUGGCAUACUUUGAUUCGGUGGUAUUGUUGGAUGAAGCGGCUCAGACCGACAUUACGCGUACGCUUACGCGAGACUGGUUCUACCGAUGUGCUUUGCACAUAGGUGGCUGGUGAGUGUCUGUUUCUCCAACUUUUGUUGAAUCGAGUGUGGCUAUGCCCAGUCCUUGUUGAAGGUUAAAACAACACACUUGACAAAAAAUCGUUGUGGUUUUGAUGCAUAGGUAAGAACGGUUCUUGCUAGAAGCCCAUAGCAGCCACGUAAAACUUGCAACAACAAAGUAGAGGACGUCUAACUUGUUUUUGCAGGGCUUGUUGUGAUGUGAUAUGGUCAAGCAUGAUGUGAUAUAAAUUGUUGUAUGAGAUGAUCAUGUUUUGUAACAAAGUUAUCGGCAACUGGCAGGAGCCAUAUGGUUAUCGCUUUAUUGUAUGCAAUGCAAUCGCCAUGUAAUUGUUUUAGUUUAUCACUAAGCGGUAGCGAGAGUCGUAGUAACAAUAGGUGGCGAGACGACAACGAUGCUACGAUGGAGAUCAAGGUGUCGCACCAAUGACAUUGGAGAUCAUGAUGAUGCUUCGGUGAUGGAGAUCACGAGCACAAGAUGAUGAUGGCCAUAUCAUGUCACAUAUUUUGAUUGCAUGUGAUGUUUAUCCUUUAUGCAUCUUAUUUUGCAUAGAACAUCGGUAGCAUUAUAAGAUGAUCCCUUACUAAAUUUCAAGGUACAAGUGUUCUCCCUGAGUAUGCACCAUUGCUACAGUUCGUCAUGCCUAGACACCUUGUGAUGAUUGAGUGCGAUAAGCUCUAUGUUCACAUACAACGGGUGCAAGCCAGUUUUGCACACGCAGAAUACUCGGGUUAAACUUGACGAGCCUAGCAUAUGCAGAUAUGGCCUCGGAACACUAAGACUGAAAGGUCGAGCGUGAAUCAUAUAGUAGAUAUGAUCAACAUAGUGAUGUUCACCAUUGAAAACUACUCCAUCUCACAUGAUGAUCGGACAUGGUUUAGUUGAUUUGGAUCACAUGAUCACUUAGAUGAUUAGAGGGAUGUCUAUCUAAGUGGGAGUUCUUAAGUAAUAUGAUUAAUUGAAUUUUAAUUUAUCAUGAACUUAGUGCCUGAUAGUAUUUUGCAUGUCUAUGUUGUUGUAGAUCAAUGGCCUGUGCUACCAUUCCUUUGAAUUUUAAUGCGUUCCUAGAGAAAGUUAAGUUGAAAGAUGAUGGCAGCAACUACAUGGAUUGGGUCCAUAACUUGAGGAUUAUCCUCAUUGCUGCACAAAAGUAUUACGUCCUGGAAGCACCGCUGGGUGCAAGGCCUGCUGCAGAUGCUACUGAUGACAUUAAGAACGUCUGGCAGAGCAAAGUUGAUGACUACUUGAUAGUUCAGUGUGCCAUGCUUUACGGCUUAGAAUCGGGACUUCAAAGACGUUUUGAACGUCAUUGAGCAUAUAAGAUGUUCCAAGAGUUGAAGUUAAUAUUUCAAGCAAAUGCCCGAGUUGAGAGAUAUGAAGUCUACGACAAGUUCUACAACUGCAAAAUGGAGGAGAAUAGUUCUGUGAGUGAACACAUACUCAAAAUGUCAGGGUAUCAUAAUCACUUGACUCAGCUGGGAGUUGAUCUUCCAGUUGAUUGUGUCAUUGACAGAGUUCUUCAAUCACUGCCACCAAGCUAUAAAGGCUUCAUGAUGAACUAUAAUAUGCAAGGGAUGGACAAGACUAUUCCUGAGCUCUUCGCGAUGCUAAAGGCCGCGGAGGUUAAAAUCAAAAAGGAGCAUCAAGUGUUGAUGGUCAAUAAGACCACUAGUUUCAGGAAAAAGGGCAAAGGGAAGAAAGGAAACUUCAAGAAGAAUGGCAAAAAGGUUGCUGCUCAAGAGAAGAAACCCAAGUCUGGACCUAAGCCUGAAACUGAGUGCUUCUACUGCAAAGGGACUGGUCACUGGAAGCGGAACUGCCCAAGUAUUUGGCGGAUAAUAAGGAUGGCAAAGUGAAAGGUAUAUUUGAUAUACAUGUUUUUGAUGUGUACUUAACUAAUGCUCGCAGUAGAGCCUGGGUAUUUGAUACUGGUUCUAUUGCUCAUAUUUGCAACUUGAAAUAGAGGCUACGGAUUAAGCGAAGAUUGGCUAAGGACGAGGUGACGAUGCACAUGGGAAAUGGUUCCAAAGUCAAUGUGAUCACGGUCGGCACGCUACCUCUACAUCUACCAUCAGAAUUAGUUUUAGACGUGAAUAAUUAUUAUUUGGUGCCAACGUUGAGCAUGAACAUUAUAUCUGGAUAUUGUUUAAUGCAAGAUGGUUAUUCAUUUAAAUUAGAGAAUAAUGGUUGUUCUAUUUAUAUGAGUAAUAUCUUUUAUGGUCAUGCACCCCUGAUGAGUGGUCUGUUUUUGUUGAAUCUCGAUAGUAGUGAUAAACAUAUUCAUAGUGUGGAAUCCAAAAGAUUGAUGUUUAAUAAUGAUAGUGCAACUUAUUUGUGGCACUGCCGUUUGGGUCAUAUCGGUAUAAAGCGCAUGAAGAAACUCCAUACUGAUGGACUUUUGGAAUCACUUGAUUAUGAAUCACUUGGUGCUUGCGAACCGUGCCUUAUGGGCAAGAUGACUAAAACUCCGUUCUCCGGAACAAUGGAAUGAGCUACUGACUUGUUGGAAAUAAUACAUACCGAUAUAUGCGGUCCAAUGAGCAUUGAUGCUCGUGGCGGGUAUCGUUAUUUUCUUACUUCCACAGAUGAUUUGAGCAGAUAUGGUUAUAUCUACUUAAUGAAGCAUAAGUCUGAAACAUUUGAAAACUUCAAAGAAUUUCAAAGUGAAGUGGAAAAUCAUCGUAACAAGAAAAUAAAGUUUCUACGAUCUGAUCGUGGAGGAGAAUAUUUGAGUUCCGAGUUUGGUUUUCAUUUCAAACAACAUGGAAUAGUUUCACAAUUAACGCCACCUGGAACACAACAACGAAAUGGUGUGUCCGAACGUCGUAACUGUACUUUAUUAGAUAUGGUGUGAUCUAUGAUGUCUCUUACUGAUUUACCGCUAUCGUUUUGGGGUUAUGCUCUAAAGACGGCUGCAUUCACUUUAAAUAGGGCACCAUCAAAAUCCGUUGAGACGACGCCCUAUGAACUGUGGUUUGGCAAGAAACCAAAGUUGUCGUUUCUUAAAAUUUGGGGCUGCGAUGCUUAUGUGAAAAAGCUUCAACCUGAUAAGUUCGAACCCAAAUCGGAGAAGUGCGUCUUCAUAGGAUACCCAAAAGAAACUGUUGGGUACACCCUUUAUCACAUAUCCGAAGGCAAAAUCUUUGUUGCUAAGAAUGGAUCCUUUCUAGAGAAGGAGUUUCUCUGGAAAGAAGUGAGUGGGAGGAAAGUAGAACUUGAUGAGGUAACUGUACCUGCUCCCUUAUUGGAAAGUAGUUCAUCGCAGAACUACACCAAUUAGCGAGGAAGCUAAUGAUGAUGAUCAUGAAGCUUUAGAUCAAGUUACUACCGAACUUCGUAGGUCUUCCAGAGUAAGAUCCGCACUAGUGUGGUAUGGUAAUCCUGUUCUGGAAGUCAUGUUACUAGAUCAUGAUGAACCUACGAAUUAUGAGGAAGCGAUGAUGAGCCCAGAUUCUGCGAAAUGGUUGAGGCCAUGAAAUCUAAGAUGGGAUCCAUGUAUGAGAACAAAGUGUGGACUUUGGUGGACUUGCCCGAUGAUCAGCAAGCCAUAGAAAAUAAAUCGAUCUUUAAGAAGAAGACCGACACAGACAGUAAUGUUACUGUUUGCAAAUCUCGACUUGUUGCGAAAGGUUUUCGACAAGUUCAAGGAGUUGACUACGAUGAGACUUUCUCACCCGUAGUGAUGCUUAAGUCUGUCCGAAUCAUGUUAGCAAUUGCUGCAUUUUAUGAUUAUGAAAUUUGGCAAAUGGAUGUCAAAACUGCAUUGCUGAAUGGAUUUCUGGAAGAAGAGUUGUAUAUGAUGCAACUGGAAGGUUUUGUCGAUCCAAAGGGUGCUAGCAAAGUGUGCAAGCUCCAGUGAUCCAUUUAUGGACUAUGCAAGCCUCUCGGAGUUGGAAUAAAUGCUUUGAUAGUGCGAUCAAAGCAUAUGGUUUUGUAUAGACUUUUGGAGAAGUCUGUAUUUACAAGAAAGUGAGUGGGAGCUCUGUAGCAUUUCUGAUCUUAUAUGUAGAUGACAUAUUGUUGAUUGGAAAUGAUAUACAAUUUUUGGAUAGCAUACAGGGAUACCUGAAUAAGAGUUUUUCUAUGAAACACCUUGGAGAAGCUGCUUACAUAUUGGGCAUCAAGAUCUAUAGAGAUAGAUCAAGACGCUUAAUUGGACUUUCACAAAGCACAUACCUUGAUAAAGUUUUGAAGAAGUUCAAAAUGGAUCAGUCAAAGAAAGGGUUCUUCCCUGUAUUACAAGGUGUGAAGUUGAGUCGGACUCAAAGCCCGACCACCGCAGAAGAUAGAGAGAAAAUGAAAGUCAUUCCCUAUGCUUCAGCCAUAGGUUCUAUCAUGUAUGCAAUGCUAUGUACCAGACCUGAUGUAUGUCUUGCUAAGCAUUGCAGGAAGGUACCAAAGUAAUCCCGGAGUGGAGCACUGGACAGCGGUCAAGAAAAUCCUGAAAUAGCUGAAAAGGACUAAGGAUAUGUUUCUCGUUUAUGUAGGUGAAAAGAGCUCGUCGUAAAUGAUUACAUCGAUGCAAUCUUUACUAAUCCGGAUGACUCUAAGUCACAAACCGGAUACAUAUUUUUAUUGAAUGGAGGAGCUGUCAGUUGGUGCAGUUCCAAGGAGAGCGUCGUGGCGGGAUCUACGUGUGUAGCGGAGUACAUUGCUGCUUCGGAAGCGGCAAAUGAAGGAUUUUGGAUGAAGGAGUUCAUAUCCGAUCUUGGUGUCAUACCUAGUGCAUCGGGUCCAAUGAAAAUCUUUUGUGACAAUACUGGUGCAAUUGCCUUGGCAAAGGAAUCCAGAUUUCAUAAGAGAACCAAGCACAUCAAGUGUUGCUUCAAUUCCAUCCGUCAUCAAGUGUCGAAAGGGGACAUAGAGAUUUCCAAGAUACACACGGAUCUGAAUGUUGCAGACCCGUUGACUAAGCCUCUCUGACGAGCAAAACAUGAUCAGCACCAAAGCUCCAUGGGUGUUAGAAUCAUUACUAUGCAAUCAAGAUUAUUGACUGUACUGCAAGUUGGGGACUGAAGGAAAUAUGCCCUAGAGGCAAUAAUAAAGUUAUUAUUUAUUUCCUUAAUUCACAAUAAAUGUUUAUUAUUCAUGCUAGAAUUCUAUUAACCGGAAACUCAGUACAUGUGUGAAUACAUAGACAAAACCUAUAGUCCCUAGUAUGCCUCUACUUGACUAGCUCGUUAAUCAAAGAUGGUUAAGUUUCCUAACCAUAGACAUGUUUUGUAAUUUGAUGAACGGGAUCACAUCAUUAGGAGAAUGAUGUGAUGGACAUGACCCAUCCGUUUGCUUAGCAUCACGAUCGUGUUAGUUUCAUUGCUACUGCUUUCUUCAUGACUUAUACAAGUUCCUCAGACUAUGAGAUUAUGCAACUCCCGAAUAUCGGAGGAACACUUUGUGUGCUACCAAAAGUCACAACAUAAAAGGGUGAUUAUAAAGGUGCUCUACAGGUGUCUCCGAAGGUGUUUUUUGGGUUGGCAUAGAUCGAGAUUAGGAUUUAUCAUUCCGUGUUUCGGAGAGGUAUCUCUGGGCCCUCUCGGUAAUACUCAUCACUAUAAGCCUUGCAAGCAUUGUGACUAAUGAGUUAGUUGCGGGAUGAAGUAUUACAUAACGAGUAAAGAGACUUGCCGGUAACGAGAUUGAACUAGGUAUUGAGAUACCGACGAUCGAAUCUCGGGCAAGUAACAUACCGAUGACAAAGGGAACAACAUAUGUUGUUAUGCGAUUUGACCGAUAAAGAUAUUCAUAGAAUAUGUAGGAACCAAUAUGAGCAUUUAGGUUCCACUAUUGGUUAUUGACCGGAGACGUGUCUCAGUCAUGUCUACAUAGUUCUCGAACCCGUAGGGUCCGCACACUUAAAGUUCGGUGACGAUCUGUAUUAUGAGUUUAUGUGUUUUGAUGUACUGAAGGUAGUUCAGAGUCCCGGAUGUGAUCACGGACAUGAAGAGGAGUCUCAAAAUAUUCGAGACAUAAAGAUUGAUAUAUUGGACGGCUAUAUUCAGACACGGGAAGAGUUCCGGGUGAUUUUGGAGAAAACCGGAGUGCCGGAGGGGUUACUGGAACCCCCCGGGGAAGUAUUGGGCCUUAGUGGGCCUUGGGGGAGAGAGAGGGCAGCAACCCAGGAGGUGGCGCACUACCCCCAAGGGGAGUCCGAAUUGGACUAGGGUAAGGGGGCGCGGCCCCUCUUUCCCUCUCCCUCUCCCUCUCCUUCCUUCCCCCUUCCUCCUCAUAGUUGGACUAGGAAAUGAGGAGUCCUACUCCUACUAGGAGGACUCCUCCCCUCCUUGGCGCACCACAAGGGCCGGCCGGCCUCCCCCUUGCUCCUUUAUAUACGUUGGCAGAGGGGCACCCUAGAACACACAAGUUGACAUUGUUUAGCCAUGUGCGGUGCCCCCCUCCACAGUUACACACCUCGGUCAUAUCGUCGUAGUGCUUAGGCGAAGCCCUGCGCCGGUAACUUGAUCAAAACCGUUACCACGCCGUCGUGCUGACGAAACUCUCCUUCGGCCUCAACUGGAUCAAGAGUACGAGGGACGUCCCUGAGCUGAACGUGUGCUGAUCGCGGAGGUGCCGUAUGUUCGGUACUAAGAUCGGUCGGAUCGUGAAGACGUACGACUACAUCAACCACAUUGUCAUAACGCUUCCGUUUUCGGUCUACGAGGGUACAUGGACACACUCUCCCCUCUCGUUGCUAUGCAUCACCAUGAUAUUGCGUGUGCGUAGGAUUUUUUUUGAAAUUACUGCGUUCCCCAAUAACAAGACCAAUAAUCUCAUCUUUACUAUAUAUUUCUUUUUCAUGUGGUUGUCUACGAAACUUAGAGAAUUAAACUCAUGAGACACAUCACCAAACUUAACUCUAACCUUUUCUUUAACACAAUCAAUUUCAGCAUUAACAGUAUUUAAGAAAGGCCUACCAAAUAUAACUGGACAAAAAUUAUCUUGUUGUGAACCAAGUACUAAGAAAUCAGUAGGGCAUUUGAUUUUUUGACAUAAGACUUCAACUUGUCGAACAAUCCCAAGUGGUGAAUUAAUAUCUCUAUUUGAAAGCUUAAUAGUGACAUCAAUAUCUUGAAUCUCAGGAGGUGCAAUAUCAUUCGUAAUUUCUUGAUAGAAAGUAAAUGGAAUAGCACUCACACUAGCACCCAUGUAACAUAAACCAUGAUUGCAAUGAUCUCCAAUCUUAACAAAAACAAUUGGCAUGCCAACCAUUGGCUUAUUUUUAUCUAAAAUAUCUUGUUCAUUUCUAGCAGGUUUAGCAAUUCUAGCAUCUUCAUCAUAGAAGUAAGUAACAUGCCCAUCAAUAUUAUCAACCAAGAGAUCUUUAAACAUAGCAAUAUUAGGGUCCACACUUAUUUGUUUAUAGGGUUUAGGUGUUCUAAUAUUAUUUUUAUUAACCAUAGUUUUAGCUUUAGCAUGUUCCCUAAUCCUAACAUGGAAAGGAGGUUUCUCAAUAUAAGCAGCAGGUACAACUGGACCAGCAUUACAAAUAAUAGUUUCAUCUUUAACUUUAACAGGUUCCUUUAACAAUUCUUCAAUAUGUGGAUGAUAUUUAAACCAGUUCUCCUUAGGGAGAUCAACAUGAGUAGGAAAUGGUUCACAAAAGGAAGCUAGUAUCUCUGAGUGAAGUCCAUAUUUAGUACUAAACUUAUGAAAAGCAUUUGUUUCCAUAAAAGAUAUAACACAAUCAAACUCAAGUUUUAUACCUGACACGUUACCUUAGUCGAAUUCCCAAUCUUAAGAGUUACAUUUAAUUCUUUCUAGAAGAUGCCAUUUGAAUUCAAUAGUUUUAUUCAUAAAGGAACCAGUAGAAGAAGAAUCGAGCAUGGAUUGAUCAGUAUGAUAAAGCCGAGCAUAAAAUUUUUGUAUAAUAAUUUCUCUCGAGAGCUCAUGAUUGGGCAUGUGUGCAUCAUGGACUUAAGUCUCCCCCAAGCUUGAGCGAUACUUUCUCCUUCACAAGGGCAAAAAUUAUAUAUAUAAUUCCGAUCACGAUGAACCAAAUGCAUAGGAUAGAACUUCUGGUGAAAUUCCAAUUUCAAUCGGUUCCAAUCCCAUGUUCCAAUAUCAUCCAAUAGCCUAUACCAUGUCAAUGCCUUUCCCUCCAAAGAUAAAGGGAAUACCUUCUUCUUAACUCCAUCCUCGGAUAAACCUGCAAGCUUAAACAAUCCACAAAUUUCUUCCACAUAGAUUAAGUGCAUACCAGGAUGCAUUUUUCCAUCUCUUGCAUAAGGAUUAGCUAGCAAUUUCUCUAACAUACCCGAAGGAAUCUCAUAAUAAAUAUUUCCAGUAGGUUCAGUAGGUUGAGGGGAAACUCUUGUUGCUUCCUGUUGAGGUGAAGAUACCCCGAACAAACCCCUCAAAGGAUUAUUUUCCAUAGUAACAAGUGAAAGAAAAUUUCGGCAUGUAAUAUGAAUGUUUCCUUACCAAAGGCGCUUCACUCCCUAGCAACGGCGCCAGAAAAGAGUCUUGAUGACACAUAAGUAUAGGGGAUCAAUCAUAGUCCUUUCAAUAACUAAGAGUGUUGAAACCAACGAGGAGCAGAAGGAAAUGACAAGUGGUUUUCAGCAAGGUAUUCUCUGCAAGUGUUGUAGGUAACAGUGAUAGAUAGUUUUGUAGCAAGAUAAUUCGUAACGGGUGACAAGUAAAAAUAGUAGCAAAGGUGCAGCAAUGUGGCCUAUGAUACGUCCAUUUUGCAUCAUGCUUUUAUAUUGAUAUUUGUUGCAUUAUGGGCUCUUAUUACACAUUAUGGUACAAUACUUAUGCCUUUUCUCUCUUAUUUUACAAGGUUUACAUGAAGAGGGAGAAUACCGGCAGCUGGAAUUCAGGACUGGAAAGGGGGCAAAUCUGACAGACCUAAUCUGCACACCUCCAAAAGUCCUGAAAAUUGAUGGAGAAUAAUUUUGGAAUAUAUAAAAAAUUAUUGGGCGAAGAAAAUACCAGUGGGGACCCACCAGGUGGCCACAAGCCCGGGGGGCGUGCCCUACCCUCCUGGGCGCGCCCCUAGGGAUUGUGGGCCCCCUCGCAGGCCUUCGGUGCCCAUCUUCUGCCAUAUGAUGUCUUUUGACUUGGAAAAAAAUCGAAAGGAAGCUUUCAGGACGAAGCACCAUCGUCACGAGGUGGAACUCGGGCAGAAGCAAUCUAGGGCUCCGACGGAGCUGUUCCGCUGGGGAAACUUCCCUCCCGGAGGGGGAAAUCGAAGCCAUCAUCAUCACCAAUGAUCCUCUCAUUGAGAGGAGGCCAAUCUCGAUCAACAUCUUCACCAACACCAUCUCCUCUUGAACCCUAGUUCAUCUCUUGUAUCCGAUCUUUGUCCCAAAACCUCAGAUUGGUACCUGUGGGUUGCUAGUAGUGUUGAUUACUCCUUGUAGUUGAUGCUAGUUGGUUUAUUAGGUGGAAGAUCAUAUGUUCAGAUCCUUAAUGAUAUUCAAUACCCCUCUGAUCUUGAACAUGAAUAUGCUUUGUGAGUAGUUUCAUUUGUUCCUGAGGACAUGGGAGAAGUCUUGUUAUAAGUAAUCAUGUGAAUUUGGUAUUCGUUCGAUAUUUUUAUGAGAUGUAUAUUGUCUUUCCUCUAGUGGUGUUAUGUGAACGUAGACUACAUGACACUUCACCAUGAUUUGGGCCUAGGGGAAGGCAUUGGGAAGUAAUAAGUAGAUGAUGGGUUGCUAGAGUGACAAAAUCUUAAACCCUAGUUUAUGCGUUGCUUCGUAAGGGGCUGAUUUGGAUCCACAUGUUUCAUGCUAUGGUUAGAUUUAUCUUAAUUCUUCUUUCGUAGUUGCGGAUGCUUGCGAGAGUGGUUAAUCAUAAGUGGGAGGCUAGUCCAAGUAAGGACAACACCCAAGCACGGGUCCACCCACAUAUCAAAUUAUCAAAGUAACGAACGUGAAUCAUAUGAGCAUGAUGAAAACUAACUUGACAGUAAUUCCCAUGUGUCCUCGGGAGCGCUUUGCUUUACAUAAGAGUUCGUCCAGGCUUGUCCUUUGCUACAAAAAGGAUUGGGCCACCUUGCUGCACCUUUGUUACACUUGUUACUUGUUACGCAUUACGAAUUAUCUUAUCACAAAACUAUCUAUUACCGAUAAUUUCAGUGCUUGCAGAUAAUACCUUGUUGAAAACCGCUCGUCAUUUCCUUCUGCUCGUCAUUGGGUUCGACACUCUUACUUACCGAAAGGACUAGGAUAGAUUCCCUAUAAUUGUGGGUCAUCAGCCCAAUCCUUUUUAUAGCAAAGGGCAAGCCUGAAAGUUCUCUUAUAUAAAGCAAAGUGCUCUCGAGGACACAUGAGAUUUGUCGUCUAGUCACGCUCAUCAUGUUUAGUUGAUUCGCAUUUGCUACUUUGAUAAUUUGAUAUGUGGGUGGACCGGUGCUUGGGUGUUGUUCUUACUUGAACAAGCAAUCCACUUAUGAUUACCCCCUCCCGCAAGCAUCCGCAACUAUGAAAGAAGAAUUAAGAUAAAUCUAACCAUAGCAUGAAACAUAUGGAUCCAAAAUCAGCCCCUUACAGAAUAACGCAUAAACUAGGGUUCAAGCUUCUGUCACUCUAGCAACCCAACAUCUACUUAUUACUCCACAAUGCCUUCCGCUAGGAACAAGUAUGGUGAAGUGGCAUGUAGUCAACGUUCACAUGACACCACUAAAGGAAGCAACAACAUACAUAUCAUCAAAAUAUCGAACGAAUACCAACUUCGCAUGAUUACUUAUAACAAGACUUCUCCCAUAUCCUCAGGAACAAAAGUAACUACUCACAAAUCAUAUCCAUGUUCAAGAUCAACGGGGUAUUGAAUAUCAUUAAGGAUCUAAGCAUACAAUCUUCCACCAGAUAAACCAACUAGCAUCAACUACGAGAUGUAAUCAACACUACUAGCAACCCACAUGUACCGAGACAAAGAUUGAAUACAAGAGAUGAACUAGGGUUUGAGAUGAGAUGGUGCUGGUGAAGAGUUGAUGAAGAUUGGUCCUCCCAUGAUGAGAGGAUAGUUGGUUAUGUCGAUUGCUUUGAUUUCCCCCUCCCGGAGGGAAGUUUCCCCGAUGGAAUUGCUCCGCCGAAGAGCAAAAGUGCUCCUGCCCAGGUUCCGCCUCGAGAUGGUGGUGCUUUGUCUCAAAAGUCUUCCUAUGUUUUUCUAGGGAAAAUGGCAUCAUAUAGGAGAAGAUGGACCCUGAAGGCCUGCCAGGGGUCCCACAAGAUCGGGGGCGCCUAGAGGGGUAGGACGCACCCCCCAAGCUUGUGGCUUCCCGGUGGGUCCCUUCCUGGUGUUUCUUUCGCAAAUAUUGUUUAUAUAUUCCAAAACAAUUCUGUGUAAAUUUUCAGGUUAUUGGGAGUUGUGUAGAAUAGCUAUCUCUGCUAUAGCCCUUUCUGGUCCAUAAUUCCAGCUACCGGCAAUCAUCCUCUUCAUGUGAAACUUGCAAAAUAAGAGAGAAAAGGCAUAAGAAUUGCAUCAUGAAGUAAAAUAACAAUCCAAAACUCAAUAAAUAAUAGUAGGUAAACAAGAUGCAAAAUGGAUGUAUCAAGUAACAAAGGUAAGGGCGGCAUGAUCUGCCCUUUGGUUUGGUUUUCCCUGGAUUGACCCCCUGGAACAUUCCCGUUUCUUGGAGAUCCACUUCUGAGUGUUGGAGCUUCUUGAGGAUCGGAGUAGAGAUGAGGUUGAGGCUUGACCCCCCAUCGACUAGCAUCUUCGUGAUCUUCAGGUUUCAGAUCGUUGGUGCCACUGGGAUCGGGAGCACUCGAACCCCCGAACUACGAUCUGGAUAAUCACUAGCGUAAAAGGUGAUGGGUGUCUGUGACCACUAAAGGGGAUGCUGAGCUUCGACCGUCAGAUGUAUCGUGUUCACCUUGUGAGAGAACUUAUUGAACUUAUAAUGGAAGAAGUGAGAAGAUGCUCCCACGUGAACGCACUCUAGACCUUCGGCCUUUUGAAACUCAACAACCUCCUCCUCUACCUGAUCACCAACGUCAUCCCGCCUUGCUUGUCGUGGCCUCUGGUGGGUCACUCUUCUUGUCUUCUAUCUUUCUUCUUGAAGCCCCCGGCUCCUCCCUUGGCUCUCCUCUCCUUAUUCAUCCUCUCGUACUCCUUCUUCUGCUUCUCGACCAGGUACUCCAUCUCACGGCAUUCUUGGAUAUCAUGGUCAGAGGUAUGGUGUAUCUUGUAAUAAGGAUUUCCCGAGUCGUCGCCAGCGUCCUGCUCCACCCCUUGUUGGUGGCCUUGGGUUUCUUGCCAGAAUACUCCACCACAAGUAUCGCCUUGGAAUUGUGCUUAUGACUCUUGCAUUUGUUGGGGCCGGAAGAGGUGUCAACCCCUUCCUCGACAUCAUUGAUGCAGUUCCCAGGUACCUUCCUUCCUUCCUCCGCUAGCGCACACUUAUCGGUGAGCUCGAGGAGCUCGACAACAUUACGCACCUUGCGAGUGUUGAGCUUCUCUUUGAUCUUAGGCUGGCGGACGUCCGAGUUGAAUGUUGUGAUGAUCAUAGAUGAAUCAUUAUCGGGGAUAUUGUGUUGCACUUGGCUGAAGCAUUGUAUGUACUUGCGAAUGGUUCCCUCGGCCUCUACACAAGGAGGUGCAGAUCGCUAGGCAUUCUGAGCCGCUUGAACCCUCGUUGGAAGGCACCCAUGUAUUGUUUGCACAUCUUCCCAUGAGGAAAUGGAAUUUUCUGAAAGAUUCAUGAGCCAUGAGCGAACAUUGGGCUUGAGUGCCAUGGGGACCAGUAGGAAAGUGCUUGCUUCCUGCCGCCUGCAACCAGAAUGGCUAUGGUGUAUACACGAAGGAACUCAGCGUGGGUGGUUUUCCCAUCAUAUUGGAUGGAGCUGUCAGCGCCGAACCACCUUGGCCACUUGACGCGGUGCAGCUCCGAUGUGAACGCGACAUAACCUGCCCCGCAAGGAAAGUUGUCCAUGUCCUCGUUGAAACACUCCGUAUCUUCAAGAUCUGCAUGCGCAUCUGAUUGUUGGCGAGUUUCCUGACGUCUUUUGAUGUGGGUAUGUGCAUCUUGACCAUGGCGACCCCGCAUGUCUGAAGCUGGUCUUGAUGACGCUUGGGAAGAGAUGACGCCACUAUCACCGGGUUCUCACAAUCACCACGCGGCCUUGCCUGAUCUUGACGUCGUGGGGACUGUUGGGAAAUGUAGCAUACAAUUUCAAAAAUUUCCUACACCCAUGCAAGAUCUAUCUAGGAGAUACAUAGAAACGAGAGGGGGAGAGUGUGUCCAGGUACCCUUGUAGACCGAAAGAGGAAGCGUUUGACAACGCGGUUGAUGUAGUCGAACUUCUUCUUGUUCUGACUGAGGGAGUCCUGGUUUAAGGGGUCCUCGGACAGUCGGACUAUAUACUUUGGCCGGACUGUCGGACUAUGAAGAUACAAGGUUGAGGACUUUGUCCCGUGUCUGAAUGGGACUCUCCUUUGCGUGGAAGGCAAGCUUGGAUAUUCAGAUGUGUAGAUUUCCUUCUCUGUAACCGACUCUGUGUAACCCUAGCCCCUUCAGGUGUCUAUAUAAACCGAAGGGUUUAGUCCAUAGGACAAGAACAAUCAUAGUCAUAGGCUAGCUUCUAGGGUUUAGCCUCUAAGAUCUCGUGGUAGAUCAACUCUUGUAAUACUCAUCUCAUCAAGAUCAAUCAAGCAGGAAGUAGGGUAUUACCUCCAUCGAGAGGUCCCAAACCUGGGUAAAACAUCGUGAUCCCUGCCUCCUGUUACCAUUAGCCUUAGACGCACAGUUCGGGACCCCCUACCCGAGAUCCGCUGGUUUUGACACCGACAUUGGAGCUUUCAUUGAGAGUUCCACUGUGCCAUCGCUGUAAGGCUUGAUGGCCCCUUCGAUCAUCUUCAACGAUGCGGUCCAGGGGGAGGUUUUCCUUCCCGGACAGAUCUUUGUAUUCGGCGGCUUCGUACUGUGGGCCAACUCGCUUGGCCAUCUGGAGCAGAUCAAUAGCUACGCCCCUGGCCAUCAGGUCAGGUUUGGAAGCUUAAACUACACUACCGACAUCCGCGGAGACUUGAUCUUCGAUGGAUUCGAGCUCAGGACAGGUGCGCCGAACAGUCAUGACGGACAUGACUUUGAUCUGCCGCCGGAUAGUAUUCAGGAAAUCGCACCCGCGUUGGCUCCAGGAAUCAACCCGGAGCAGAUCAUGCCUACUGAGGAUGGGUGGUUGGACCCCGUAUGACAGUCUGGUUUUGCCCUCUUUUCUUUGCCUGAUUUUCAGUUGAGUGGGUUUUGAAUUUGGAGUUUUUGAAUCACUUCAUUUGGACUUAACCACUUGGGUACACCUUGACUUUCACCCAAGUGCCCCCUCUCCUCCUCAAAACCAUCAUUUCACCUCUAGUUCAACUCAAAAUAUUGCUUGGAAUAUUUUUCUUAAAUGAAAAAUAUUCAUUUUGCUCUCCAAAACCCUAGUUAGCCCUUUGUGCUCCAAAGCAACCCUAAUUUUUCUUGCCCCAAAAAUCCUGAUAAAAAUCCCAAUUAUUCUUUGGACCCUAGGGCACCUUUAUGAGCAAAAAUAUUUCACCACUCCUUGGAAUAUUUUCGCUACAGAAAAUAAAUUCAUUUCUGGACAAAAAUGGUAGCUUCUAUAGAAACUACAAUUUUACUAGCUCCAUUGUAGCUGGUUUUUCUUGUGCCUAUUUACCUUAGUAAGUGUAAGCAAGCCUCCAAAGCUCAGCCCUUAACUCCCAGUGGUUUGACCUCAGUAAAUCUCCAAAGUUACUGUCCAGAAACUUGCUAGCAGUACAAAUCCAUUUCUACUGCACCUGGAUCCAAGCCAAACCAUGGUAACACUUCAAACUACCAAGGACUAUACGCUAGACAUCAAGUUAGCGCUUAGGAUGGCCGGAUGUCACGGUUCACGCGGUGACCGCGUUCGUCCGGGCGUGCUGGCAUGCAAAACACACGCUCUGCGUGCCGCCUAGCGCUCUGUUGAGCGCGUGCUCGCUGCCCAGCCUGCCCGAGCAUGCCAAACCUCGCCACCAUCCCCGUCUCCACUCCCUUAACUCCCCAUGGCACUCGCCGACGCCGGAGCUCGCCGCAGCUGGCAUGGGCAUGGUCCGGCCAACGACACAGUGCGUGGUGCACUGUGCUCUUCAUCUUCUCCCUCGUCUCUGUGCUCGUCCGCGCCCGACAAUAGUUCCCGCGUGACCUCCAUCGUCUUCCUCCUCUCUUGCUGGCGCCGUUCGUCGCCGGGCACCGUGGAUAGGUGUCCUCCGGUGGAGCCCGAACCCUCCUUGCUGCCCGCCUAUAAAUGUCGCCACCCCCAGCCUCUUUGAGCACCCGCAGCUACUCCCACACCCUCCACAAAGUUGUAGAAGCCGCAGCCCGGCCGGGCAGGCCGCGGGCUGCCGUCCCGAAGCUCGAGCUCAUCGGCGAUCCCCUUCGGAUCGUCCCCGCAGCUCCAGCCCCUCCCAGGCCAGGGCGACCCUGCCAGGGCCUCCGCCACUCUUCGGUGAGGGCGUUUCGCCCUGUUGGAGCCCCUGGAGCCGCCCCGAGCCGCCGUUGUCUUCAUCUGCAGCGACCGCUGCCCUCUGCCUUCGCUGGAGAGGCUGUUUCCGACGCCGUCCGGUCACCUCUAGCCACGCUACGGGUAUGGGCAGGUGCGCCAUCUUCUUCUCCUUCGAUCCCCCCUCUCGUUUGUCCCCAAGAACCCUCGUCGCCGGCGUGUGCUCCGGCGAAGCUCCGCCUCCCUCCGUUUCCUUCUCCUCCUCCUUUUGGCCUGACUAGCGGGCCCCGCUAGUCAGCCACUCAGUACUCGCGCGAAGUGGUAGGAGUGGUAGCGCGCCGGGCGUUUAUGCCUUCGACGUCACCCCCCAGUCUAUUUUCUUUUUAAAUCAAAUUCAUUUAAAUCCAGGAAACUUCAUACAGCCAUAACUUUUUAUCUAUAAGUCCAAAUGCAUUGAUUCUUUUUGCAUUGUCUUUGUCCAAAAAUUUAACAGCACCCAAAAGAUGGGAUUUUUCCUUGCUGUCUAGAUUUUCUGGUAAUUUUCAGAAGGUUUCUUGAUGUUUUCUUUUUGUGGUUUUAUUUAUUUUCAGAAGAGCAAGCUUGUCUUGAGGACCACCAGGAGAUUUGUGAACCUCAUCAACACUAAGGCAAGCCACAACAACAUUUUCAUAGUGCCACCUCAAUAUUUGUGAUUUUCCUACUUGAACUUAUGAUUAUUCAUGCAUUUAAAUAAUUAUUAUAGUUAUAUUCUGUUAGAUGCUUGUCAUGUUAAAUAUGGUUGAUUUACAGAAAGUUUGAAAUGAAUUUUGCUGACAAGCUAACAAGAAUUUAGAUAUGAGUAAUGAUAAUAUGAUAUAGUCUUGGAGGUUAAUAAUUAGUUUAAUUAUUAUUCAUUGCAUGAUGAAAAAUGAUGAGAUUGCUAGAAAUGGCUCUGGUUUAAGUGAGGUUUGAUCUUAACCAGAGAAGUAUCUUGAGUUGGUGAUGGCUCCGUGGGAGCGUAGCUGAAAUAGUUAUUCUCUUGGUUAUUUGAUGCAUAUGUUAGUGAUGCAUAGCAUGGCAUUAUGACACCGGUUACUUUCACUUUAAGUUGAACCUGAUAAAUAACUCAACUUGAAUAUGUUGUUGACUGGGUCGUGGUGCCGCUGAAAUGAAUUUUCCCCAGUGCAACCACAUUUGCCGGUAUGGGACGACCUUAAUGCGUUUCAUUGUUGUGCCUCUGGUCGGUGCCUCCAUCUAGGGAAGGUUAUGGGCGUGCUGUACCCUAGCCCGGUAAGUAGGCAUAACCUUGCGUGCCAGUUGAUGAGUUAAGUGUUUGGGUCCCAGAGUGGAUCGUUGCCACGACGGUGGUUUGAGGUAGACAUAGGGCCACCCAGGACUAGCCCGAUGGGGAUUGAGUCGGAGUGGCCGGGAGAGUGUCAUGACAAUUAAGUGGUUUCUCAGAAUGCCGUUGGUCCACCCAAAUGGGAGUCCAAGGCCAUGGGUUCCGUAGUGUGGGUACAGUGCGCUACCUCUGCAGAGUGUAUUAAUCUAUCGAUAGCCGAGUUCACGGUUACGGACACACUCGAAAGUAGGGUACACCAUGGGUCAACACUUAAUAAAUUUGCACACUGAGACUUGCACUAAGGUAAUGGCUGUGAGGCCAUCGUGUUGAGGUUGAGACCAAGUGUUGAUCAGGGAUGUGAUCGCCGUAAGGAUCACGAGAUUGUCGUUGAGUUCUUCAUGUUUGUGGUCUGGAAAUGAUCACGUUCGGUAAGCCAGUCCAUGUGACGAGUACCACUUGAGCAUAUUCACAGCAUGUUGGAUAUAUAUUGUUGCAUUGUAUUUAAUUGGUUAAGUAUCAUGAUAUUGUUUGUCAUUAUGUUUAUGCUUGUUGUGAGCUUGCAAGUACAUUCAAUGUACUGACCUGGCGUGUCAUGCCAGAUUUCAGGAAAGUCUCGUUGGAAAGGAGAGCUGUUCGAGUCUAGAUCGUGUCCACAUUGGUGUCCCUGUGCUAUGGAGUCCCUCUACGAUGUUAUUCCGCUGCCGCGUAGUUGUCAUGAUCGAGGCCCCUUUAUGUUUACUAAAUAAUGUACAUAUUGUUCAGCCGCACCGUAUGUGCCGCUUGGCCUCGCUAACUGUUGUAAUAUGAACUAUGCUCCGCUAGCAUGAAUAAAGCGGUUGUUUUUCUGUACCAAGUUGUUGUGUGUUGCCAGAAGACUAGGCUUUGGGCUAGCAAUGCAGGGUAAACCGGUCACUCUGAGCCAGGGUGCCACACCCUGCCAUGGAGGCUGCACACUCAUUGGCAUUGGAGCCGAGCGCUGAUCGCACCUCCUGCUAGAGUGGUGUCGUCGGACCCCUGAACUCUUCCCCGGUUGUAGGAUUGGGCACCCGUCAUGGACCGCGGAUAUUUUUCACCACUCACCCUUGGGAGAUGUGCUGAAGUCAUUAAGGUCUCUGUCCUUGUCAGGAGACUCUGGGCCGAACUAUGUCCGGCUCGAGUGGGAAGUGGACGAUGAAGAAAUUCGUUACCCUCCCACCACCCACUUCAUAGCCACUGUCGAUGAUUUAACUGACAUGCUCGAUUUUGACUCCGAAGACAUCGACGGUAUCUACGACGACGCAGGAGAAGAACAGGAACCACCACCCAUUGGGUGCUGGACUGCCACCUCAUCAUAUGAUAUUUAGAUGGUGGACAUAGCAAAAGAAGGCGAUGGUGACGAUACAACGAAGGAUAAUCCCCUCGAUAAGCCACCAAAGCGGCGCCAUAGACGCUGCUCUAAAUUCCGCCACAGUAAAAAUAGCGACAACAGCGCAAGAAAUAAUAAUACCCCGGUUGAUUCCAAAGGAAACGAUGACCCCAUGGACCCAGCGAUGGCGUAGGAUAAGCCAGGGGACGGUGAAAACAGUCCGGAGCCGACGUCAGAUAACACCGAUCCCGAGGAUAAAUUCAACAACCUGUCUCCGGAGAGGAGGACAGCCCGGACGAUGAUGCACUUAUCAUCCCAGAAAAACUCUUGGAACAAGAGAACCUCCACAGAAGACUUAUCGCUACCGCGAGGAGCCUAAAGAAGCAGAAGCAAAAGCUUAAGGCCGCGCAGGAUACGCUCAACCGUAGGUGGAGCAAAGUGCUCGACACAGAAGAAAAAUACGGUGAUGAUCGCCACGCAAAGAGCUAUCCAAAACGCAAGCUGCUGCCCGAAUUCGACGAUGAGGCCGUAGAGCCCACUCAGCCGAAAACUACCGAUCAGCCAGACCGACCGCCCCGUGGCCAUGACAAGACGGCUAAGGAUGCCGCGCACAAGUCAGCACACGAUUUAUGUGAGCUCCUGGGCAGAAAGUCCAGUAUGGCCAGAUCCAUCUAUGGAUCUAGGAAGCGCGCUCCAGCGCAGGAUCAGAACUACCGAAACGAUCACAUCGAUCAAAUACCAGCUUGGAAUCAGAAUGAAGCACAACAACCGUCGACAUCAUGCCACGACACAACCAAAUACAGGGGUGCCACACACCCCCUAUGCUUCACCGACGAGGUGCUGGAUCAUGAAUUUCCAGAAGGAUUCAAACCCGUGAAUAUAGAGGCAUACGACGGAACUACAAACCCUGGGGUCUGGAUCGAGGACUUUAUCCUUCAUAUCCAUAUGGCUCGCGGAGACGAUCUCCAUGCCAUCAAAUAUCUACCCCUCAAAUUAAAGGGACCAGCUCGACACUGGCUGAAAAGCCUUCCCGAAAACUCAAUUGGAAGUUGGGAAGAGCUCGAGGAUGCUUUCAGGGCCAAUUGUCAAGGGACCUAUGUCCGGCCUCUGGAUGCUGACGACCUAAGCCAUAUAAUUCAACAGCCCGUCAUCCCGAAAACUCUGGAACAACUUUCUUACUAAGAAAAACCAAAUAGUCGAUUGCCCGGACGCCGAGGCUUUAGCGGCCUUCAAGCAUAGUAUCCAGGAUGAAUGGCUUGCCAGACACCUCAGCCAAGAAAAGCCAAGGAUGAUGGCAGCCUUAACAAGCCUUAUGACCCACUUUUGCGCAGGCGAGGACAGCUGGCUGGCCCAUAGCGGCACCAGCGACCCAAGCACUUCCGAAGUCAGGGAUGGCAACAAGAAGCCGCGACGCAACAAAAACAAGCGUCAAAACAAUAAUGACAUCCCAGAGAAUACGACGGUCAAUGCCGGAUCCAAGGGCUCUCAACCCAGUCAACGGAAGAAGCCAUUUAAAGGUAGCAGAGAUGGACCGUCCAGCCUAAACAAGAUUCUAGACAAAUUAUGUCAGAUUCACGGCACCCCCGAAAAGCCUGCAAACCACACCCACAGAGAGUGUUGGGUUUUCAAACAGACCGGCAAACUGAACGCCGAACAAAAGGGGAGGGAGAUGCCAAGUGAGGACGAGGAGGAGCCUCGUCAGCCGAACACUGGAGGACAGAAAAAAUUCCCACCAGAAGUCAAAACAGUGAAUAUGAUUUACGUAACUGACAUUCCAAAGAGAACGCGCAAACACGCACUCAGAGACAUAUACACUGUUGAGACCGUUGCCCCCAAAUUUAAUCCCUGGUCGGCCUGCCCGAUCACCUUCGAUCGCAGGGACCACCCGACUAGUGUCCGACACGGAGGAUCGACUUGUUGGAAAUAUGCCCUAGAGGCAAUAAUAAAUUGGUUAUUAUUAUUAUAUUUCCUUGUUCAUGAUAAUCAUUUAUUAUCCAUGCUGUAAUUGUAUUGAUAGGAAACUCAAAUAUAUGUGUGGGUACAUAGACAACACCAAGUCCCUAGUAAGCCUCUAGUUGACUAGCUCGUUGAUAGACAGAUGGUCACAGUUUCCUGACCAUGGACAUUGGAUGUCGUUGAUAACGGGAUCACAUCAUUAGGAGAAUGAUGUGAUGGACAAGACCCAAUCCUAAGCCUAGCACAAAGAUCGUAGUUCGUAUGCUAAAGCUUUUCUAAUGUCAAGUAUCAUUUCCUUAGACCAUGAGAUUGUGCAACUCCUGGAUACCGUAGGAAUGCUUUGGGUGUAUCAAACGUCACAACGUAACUGGGUGGCUAUAAAGGUGCACUACAGGUAUCUCCGAAAGUGUCUGUUGGGUUGGCACGAAUCGAGACUGGGAUAUGUCACUCCGUGUGACGGAGAGGUAUCUCUAGGCCCACUCGGUAGGACAUCAUCAUAAUGUGCACAAUAUGACCAAGGGGUUGAUCACAGGAUGAUGUGUUACGGAACGAGUAAAGAGACUUGCCGGUAACAAGAUUGAACAAGGGAUCGGGAUACCGAUGAUCGAAUCUCGGGCAAGUACAAUACCGUUAGACAAAGGGAAUUGUAUACGGGAUCGAUUGAGUCCUUGACAUCGUGGUUCAUCCGAUGAGAUCAUCGUGGAACAUGUGGGAGCCAACAUGGGUAUCCAGAUCCUGCUGUUGGUUAUUGACCAGAGAACGUCUCGGUCAUGUCUGCAUGGUUCCCGAACCCGUAGGGUCUACACACUUAAGGUUCGAUGACGCUAGGGUUAUAAAGGAAGUUUGUAUGUGGUUACCGAAUGUUGUUCGGAGUCCCGGAUGAGAUCCCGGGAGUUCCGGAAUGGUCCGGAGGUAAAGAUUUAUAUAUGGGAAGUCCUGUUUUGGUCACCGAAAAAGUUUCGGGUUUUAUCGGUAACGUACCGGGACCACCGGGAGGGUCCCGGGGGUCCACCAAGUGGGUCCACCAUCCCCGGAGGGCAGCAUGGGCCUAGUGUGGGAGGGGACCAGCCCCAGGUGGGCUGGUGCGCCCCCCCACAAGGGCCCAAGGCGCCUAGGGUUUGGGGAGGGGGCGCCCCACCUUGCUUGGGGGGUAAGUUUCCCCCUCUCCACCCCUUGGCCGCCCCCCUAGAUGGGAUCUAGGGCUGGCCUCCGCCCCUAGGGGUGGAAAGCUAGGUGGGGGCGCAGCCCCCUCUCCCCCUAUAUAUAGUGGAGGCAUAGGAGCAGCCCAAGACAUGAGUUUCUUCUCCUGUUGGCGCAUCCCUACCUCUCUUUCUCCUCAUAUCUCGCGGUGCUUGGCGAAGCCCUGCUGGACUACCACGCUCCUCCAUCACCACCACGCCAUUGUGCUGCUGCUGGAUGGAGUCUUCCUCAACCUCUCCCUCUCACCUUGCUGGAUCAAGGCAUGGGAGACGUCACCGGGCUGUACGUGUGUUGAAUGCAGAGGUGCCGUCUGUUCGAUACUAGGAUCUCCAGUGAUUUGGAUCACGACGAGUACGACUCCUUCAACCCCGUUCUCUUGAACGCUUCCGCUUAGCGAUCUACAAGGGUAUGUAGAUGCACUCUCCUUCCCCUCGUUGCUGGUUUCUCCAUAGAUAGAUCUUGGUGACACGUAGGAAAAUUUUGAAUUUCUGCUACGUUCCCCAACAGUGGCAUCAUGAGCUAGGUCUAUUGCAUAGAUUCUUUGCACGAGUAGAACACAAAGUAGUUGUGGGCAUUGAUUUUGUUCAAUAUGCUUACCGUUACUAGUCCAAUCUUGUUUCGACGGUAUUGUGGGAUGAAGCGGCCCGGACCGACCUUACACGUACUCUUACGUGAGACAGGUUCCACCGACUGACAUGCACUUGGUGCAUAAGGUGGCUAGCGGGUGCCAGUAUCUCCCACUUUAGUCGGAACGGAUUCGAUGAAAAGGGUCCUUGUGAAGGGUAAAUAGCAAUUGGCAUAUCACGUUGUGGUUUUGCGUAGGUAAGAAACGUUCUUGCUAGAAACCCAUAGCAGCCACGUAAAACAUGCAAACAACAAUUAGAGGACGUCUAACUUGUUUUUGCAGGGUAUGCUAUGUGAUGUGAUAUGGCCAAGAAGAAUGUGAUGAAUGAUAUGUGAUGUAUGAGAUUGAUCAUGUUCUUGUAAUAGGAAUCACGACUUGCAUGUCGAUGAGUAUGACAACCGGCAGGAGCCAUAGGAGUUGUCUUUAUUUAUUGUAUGACCUGCGUGUCAUUGAACAACGCCAUGUAAUUACUUUACUUUAUUGCUAACCGGUAGCCAUAGUAGUAGAAGUAAUAAGUUGGCGAGACAACUUCAUGGAGACACGAUGAUGGAGAUCAUGAUGAUGGAGAUCAUGAUGAUGGAGAUCAUGGUGUCAUGCCGGUGACGAUGAUGAUCAUGGAGCCCCGAAGAUGGAGAUCAAAAGGAGCAAAAAAUGAUAUUGGCCAUAUCAUGUCACUAUUUGAUUGCAUGUGAUGUUUAUCAUGUUUAUACAUCUUAUUUGCUUAGGACGACGGUAGUAAAUAAGAUGAUCCCUCAUUAAAAUUUCAAGAAAGUGUUCCCCCUAACUGUGCAUCGUUGCGAAAGUUCGUCGUUUCGAAGCACCAUGUGAUGAUCGGGUGUGAUAGAUUCUUACGUUCACAUACAACGGGUGUAAGCCAGAUUUACACACGCGAAACACUUAGGUUAACUUGACAAGCCUAGCAUGUACAGACAUGGCCUCGGAACAUAAGAGACCGAAAGGUCGAGCAUGAGUCGUAUGGAGGAUACGAUCAACAUGAAGAUGUUCACCGAUGAUGACUAGUCCGUCUCACAUGAUGAUCGGACACGACCUAGUUGACUUGGAUCAUGUAAUCACUUAGAUGACUAGAGGGAUGUCUAUCUGAGUGGGAGUUCAUGAGAUGAACUUAAUUAUCCUGAACAUAGUCAAAAGAUCUUUGCAAAUUAUGUCGUAAGCUCGCGCUUUAGUUCCACUGUUUAGAUAUGUUCCUAGAGAAAAUAUAGUUGAAAGUUGACAGUAGCGAUUAUGCGGACAGUAGAAAGCUUAUGUCCUUAAUGCACCGCUUAGUGUGUUGAACCCCAAACGUCGUCUGUGGAUGUUGCGAACAUCGGACAUACACGUUUUGAUAACUACGUGAUAGUUCAGUUAAAUGGUUUAGAGUAGAGGCACCAAAGACGUUUUCGAAACAUUGCAGAACACAUGAGAUGUUUCGAGGGCUGAAAUUGGGAUUUCAGGCUCGUGCCCACGUCAAGAGGUAUGAGACCUCCAAUGAUUUUCUUAGCCUGCAAACUAAGGGAGAAAAGCUCAAUCGUUGAGAUUGUGCUCAGAUUGUCUGAGUGCGACAAUCACUUGAAUCGAGUGGGAGUUGAUCUUCCAGAGAUAGUGAUGUUUCUCCAAAGUCAUUGCCACCAAGCUGCUAGAGCUUCGUGAUGAACUAUAACAUAUCAGGGAUAGAUAUGAUGAUCCUUGAGGUAUUCGCGAUGUUUUGACACCGCAAAAGUAGAAAUGAAGAAGGAGCAUCAAUUUUGAUGGUUGGUGAAACCACUAGUUUCAAGAAGGGCAAGGGCAAGAAGGGAUACUUCAUGAACUGGCAAAUCAGCUGCUGCUCUAGUGAAGAAACCCAAGGUUGAACCCAAACCCGAAACUAAGUGCUUCUAUGAUAAGGGGAACAGUCACUAGAGCGGAAUUACCCUAGAUACUUGGUAGAUGAGAAGGCUGGCAAGGUCGAUAGAAGUAUAUUGGAUAUACAUUAUGUUAAUGUGUACUUUACUAGUACUCCUAGUAGCACCAGGGUAUUAAGAUACCGGUUCAGUUGCUAAGUGUUAGUAACUCGAAAUAAAAGAGCUACGGAAUAAACGGAGACUAGCUAAAGGUGAGCUGACGAUAUGUGUUGGAAGUGUUUCCAAGUUUGAUGUGAUCAAACAUCGCACGCUCCCUCUACCAUCAAGAUUAGUAUUAAACCUGAAUAAUUGUCAUUUGGUGUUUGCGUUGAGCAUAGACAUGAUUGGAUUGUGUCUAUCGCAAUACAAUUAUUCAUUUAAGGAGAAUAAUGGUUACUCUAUUUAUUUGAAUAAUACCUUCAAUGGUCUUGCACCUAAAGGAAUGGUUUAUUGAAUCUCGAUCGUAGUGAUACACAUUUUCAUGCCAAAAAUAUAAGAUAGUAAUGAUAGUACCACUUACUUGUGGCACUGCCAUGUAAGUCAUAUUGGUAUAAAACGCAUGAAGAAGCUCCAUGUUGAUGGAUCUUUGGACUCACUCAUUUUUGAAAAGUUUGAGACAUGCGAACCAUGUCUAUUGGUGUAUAUGCAUGAAGAAAACUCCAUGCAGAUGGAUCAUUUGGACUCACUUGAUUUUGAAUCACUUGAGAUAUGCAAAUCAUACCACAUGGGCAAGAUGACUUAAAAGCCUCGUUUUUCAGUAAAAUGGAACAAGAUAGCAACUUGUUGGAAGUAACACAUUUUGAUGUGUGCAGUCCAAUGAGUGCUGAGGCAUGCAGUGAAUAUCGUUAUGUUCUUACUUCACAGAUGAUUCGAGUAGAUGUUGAGUAUAUUUACUUGAUGAAACACAAGUCUGAAUUAUUGAAUGGUUCAAGUAAUUUCAGAGUGAAGUUGAAGAUCAUCGUGACAAGAGGAUAAAAUGUCUAUGAUAUGAUCAUAGAGAUGAGUAUCUGAGUUACAAGAUUUGGCACGCAAUUAAUACAUUGUGGAAAUUGUUUCACAAUUAAUACCGCCUGGAACACCAUAGUGUGAUGGUGUGUCCGAACAUCAUAGUUGCACCCUAUUGGAUAUGGUGCGUACCAUGAUGUCUCUUAUCGAAUUACCACUAUCGUUCAUGGGUUAGGCAUUAGAGACAACCACACUCACUUUAAUAGGGUACCACGUAAUUCCGUUGAGACGACACCGUUUGGACAAACCUAAGUUGUCGUUUCUUAAAAGUUUGGGGCUGCGACGCUUAUGUGAAAAAAGUUUCAGGUUGAUAAGCUCGAACCCAAAGCGGAUAAAAUGCAUCUUCAUAGGACACCGAAAACAGUUGGGUAUACCUCCUAAUUCAGAUUCGAAAGCAAUAGGGAUUGUUUCUUGAAUCGAGUCCUUUCUCGAGGAAAGGUUUCUCUUGAAAGAAUUGAGUGGGAGGAUGGUGGAGACUUGAUGAGGUUAUUGAACCGUCACUUCAACAAGUGUGUAGCAGGGCACAUGAAGUUGUUCCUGUGGCACCUACACCAACUGAAGUAGAAGCUUAUGAUAGUGAUCAUGAAGCUUCAGAUCAAGUCACUAUCGAACCUCGUAGGACGACAAGGACACGUACUGCUUUGGAGUGGUACGGUGAUCCUGUCUUGAAGGUCAUGUUGCUAGACAACAAUGAACCUACGAGCUAUGGAGAAGCGAUGGUGGGCCCAUAUUCCGACAAAUGGUUAGAAGCCAUGAAAUCCGAGACAGGAUCCAUGUGUCAUAACAAAGCAUGGACUUUGGUGGACUUGCCCGAUGAUCGGCAUGCCAUUGAGAUAAAUGGAUCUUUAAGAAGAAGACGGACGUGGACGGUAAUGUCACCGUCUAUGAAGCUCGACUUGUGGUGAAGAGUUUUUCACAAGUUCAAGGAGUUGACUAGGAUGAGGUUUUCUCAUCCGUAGUGAUGCUUAAGUCCGUCAGAAUCAUGUUAGCAUUAGCUGCAUUUAUGAAAUCUAGCAGAUGGAUGUCAAAACGAGUUUCCUUACCAGUUUUCGUAAGGAAAGGUUGUAUGUGAUACAAUCAGAAAGGUUUUGUCGAUCCUAAGGAUGCUAAAAGGUAUGCUAGCUCCAGCGAUCCUUCCAUGGACUGCAGUAAGCAUCUCGGAGUUGGAAUAUACACUUUGAUAAGAUGAUCAAAGAUUCUAGGUUUAUACAAGGUUUGUGAGAAACUUGUAUUUCCAAAGAACUGAGUGGGAGCACUAUAGAAUUUCUGAUGAGUAUAUGUUGUUGACAUAUUGAUGAUCAGAAAUGAUGUAGAAUUUUCUGGAAAGCAUAUAGGGUUAUUUGAAAGGUGUUUUUCAAUAAAAAAACCUGGAAUAAGAUGCUUGAACAUUGAGCAUCAAGAUCUAUGAGGAUAGAUCAAAAACGCUAAAUGGUACUUUCAAAUGAGCACAUACCUUGACAUGAUCUUAACGGUGUUCAAGAUGGAUCAGUCAAAGAGGGAGUUCUUGGCUGAGUUGUAAGGUAUGAAGUUAAGACUUAAAGCUCGACCACGGCAGAAAAGAGAGAAAGGACGAAGGUCGUCCCCUAUGCUAUAGACGUAGGCUCUACAGUAUGCUAUGCUGUGUACCGCACCCGAUGUGUGCCUUGCUACUUAUCUGGCAAGAGGGUACAAAGGUGCUCAAGGAGUGGAUCACCAGAUAGCGGUCAAAAUUAUCCUUAGAGGAAUAAGGAUAUGUUUCUCGAUUAUGGAGGUGAUAAAGAGUUCAACGUAAAGGGCUACGUCGAUGCAAGCUUUAACACCUAUCAUAAUGACUCUGAGUAGCAAACCGGAUACGUAUAGUGGAGCAACCAUUUGGAAUAGCUUCAAGUGGAGCGUGGAAGCAACAUUUACAAUAUGACAUAGAGAAUUGCGAAGUACAUACGAAUCUGAAAGUUGCAGACCCAUUGACUAAAACCUCUCUCACAAGCAAAACAUGAUCAAACCCCAGAACUCAUUGAGUCUUAAUCACAUGAUGAUGUGAACUAGUUUAAUGACACUAGUAAACUCUUUUGAUGUUGGUCACAUGGCGAUGUGACGUAUUAGUGUUAAUCACAUAGCGAUGUGAACUAGAUUAUUGACUCUAGUGCAAGUGGGAGACUGUUGGAAAUAUGCCCUAGAGGCAAUAAUAAAUUGGUUAUUAUUAUUAUAUUUCCUUGUUCAUGAUAAUCGUUUAUUAUCCAUGCUAUAAUUGUAUUGAUAGGAAACUCAAAUACAUGUGUGGGUACAUAGACAACACCAAGUCCCUAGUAAGCCUCUAGUUGACUAGCUCGUUGAUCAACAGAUGGUCACGGUUUCCUGACCAUGGACAUUGGAUGUCGUUGAUAAUGGGAUCACAUCAUUAGGAGAAUGAUGUGAUGGACAAGACCCAAUCCUAAGCCUAGCACAAAGAUCGUAGUUCGUAUGCUAAAGCUUUUCUAAUGUCAAGUAUCAUUUCCAUAGACCAUGAGAUUGUGCAACUCCCGGAUACCGUAGGAAUGCUUUGGGUGUAUCAAACGUCACAACGUAACUGGGUGGCUAUAAAGGUGCACUACAGGUAUCUCCGAAAGUGUCUGUUGGGUUGGCACGAAUCGAGACUGGGAUUUGUCACUCCGUGUGACGGAGAGGUAUCUCUGGGCCCACUCGGUAGGACAUCAUCAUAAUGUGCACAAUGUGACCAAGGGGUUGAUCACGGGAUGAUGUGUUACGGAACGAGUAAAGAGACUUGCCGGUAACAAGAUUGAACAAGGUAUCGGGAUACCGAUGAUCGAAUCUCGGGCAAGUACAAUACCGUUAGACAAAGGGAAUUGUAUACGGGAUCGAUUGAGUCCUUGACAUCGUGGUUCAUCCGAUGAGAUCAUCGUGGAACAUGUGGGAGCCAACAUGGGUAUCCAGAUCCCGAUGUUGGUUAUUGACCGGAGAACGUCUCGGUCAUGUCUGCAUGGUUCCCGAACCCGUAGGGUCUACACACUUAAGGUUCGAUGAUGCUAGGGUUAUAAAGGAAGUUUGUAUGUGGUUACCGAAUGUUGUUCGGAGUACCGGUCGUCACGAGGAGUUCCGGAAUGGUCCGGAGGUAAAGAUUUAUAUAUGGGAAGUCCUGUUUUGGUCACCGGAAAAGUUUCGGGUUUUAUCGACAACAUACCGGGACCACCGGGAGGGUCCAGGGGGUCCACCAAGUGGGUCCACCAUCCCCGGAGGGCAGCAUGGGCCUAGUGUAGGAGGGGACCAGCCCCAGGUGGGCUGGUGCACCCCCCCACAAGGGCCCAAGGCGCCUAGGGUUUGGGGAGGGGGCGCCCCACCUUGCUUGGGGGGCAAGUUUCCCCCUCUCCACCCCUUGGCCGCCCCCCUAGAUGGGAUCUAGGGCUGGCCUCUGCCCCUAGGGGUGGAAAGCUAGGUGAGGGCGCAGCCCCCUCUCCCCCUAUAUAUAGUGGAGGCAUAGGAGCAGCCCAAGAUAUGAGUUUCUUCUCCUGUUGGCGCAGCCCUACCUCUCUUUCUCCUCAUACCUCGCGGUGCUUGGCGAAGCCCUGCUGGACUACCACGCUCCUCCAUCACCACCACGCCGUUGUGCUGCUGCUGGAUGGAGUCUUCCGCAACCUCUCCCUCUCACCUUGCUGGAUCAAGGCAUGGGAGACGUCAUCGGGCUGUACGUGUGUUGAACGUGGAGGUGCCGUCCGUUCGGCACUAGGAUCUCCGGUGAUUUGGAUCACGACGAGUACGACUCCUUCAACCCCGUUCUCUUGAACGCUUCCGCUUAGCGAUCUACAAGGGUAUGUAGAUGCACUCUCCUUCCCCUCGUUUCUAGUUUCUCCGUAGAUAGAUCUUGGUGACACGUAGGAAAAUUUUGAAUUUCUGCUACGUUCCCCAACACGGCUGCCCUGGUGCUCAACCCAAUAAUUGACGGGUACCAUCUCACACGAGUCCUCAUGGACGGCGGCAGUAGUCUAAACCUGAUAUAUCAGGACACUGUCCACAAAAUUGGGAUACACCCUUCAAGGACCAUCCUAAGUAACACUACCUUUAAAGGAGCAAUACCAGGUGUUGGGGCCCACUGUACGGGCUCCCUAGUACUAGAAGUUGUAUUCGGUUCCCCCGACAACUUCAGAAGCGAGGAAUUAACCUUCGACAUCGCUCCAUUUCGGAGUGGCUAUCAUGCACUACUCGGACGAACGGCCUUCGCUCAUUUUAAUGCAGUACCGCAUUAUGCCUACCUCAAACUUAAGAUGCCCGGUCCAUGCGGUGUCAUCACAGUUAGCGGAAACACCGAGCGUUCCUUACGCGCGGAAGAAUAUGUGGUGGCUCUAGCAGCCGAACACUGAGCGGUCCCCCCAACCAGGACUAAUGGCCGGUCGUCAAGACCACAGACACGGUUAGACGAGUCCGGCGCUCCACCUAAUGUAACAGCCCAGUUGGCAUUUGCCCAUAAAAGAUGCUAGGGGCUGCUCGCAAAAAGAGCCCAUAGUUUGGCUCGACCUUAUCAAUACAAUAGCAUAUUGCAUUUUCAUUAACGAACACCUCGCACGAAGUCUUUCACCUAGGUUUUUUCCUUUUAUAGGCGACCAUCGUGCUACACCCUUCCAGGAUAUGGCACAACGGAGAUAAAGGCGCAAACAUGCAGCAGGGCCCCGCACAAAGGUUUCUCUUUAGAUUAAGCCCCUGCGUAAACCUUUUUAACAUCUCUUGUUGCUUCUUCCCCUCCGUAAACUUCAUACAACCGGGGGGAUACUGGCGUCUUCGGCAUUUUUGUCACACCAGAACACUGCUCAUACCUGGAAACUCAGGGCUCAUUGUUAAGGGUGUUAUUCAGCCUAGUACACAUUAUAAAGUCCGAAUACCUUAGGGAGUGUUCGGCGUCGCGAGUUUGGCCUUAUAUGCAUCAGCUCCGAAUCAUGUCUUUGGUCGAAUGUUGGGUUUGCCUGGCUCCCGUGUUUUGCUACCUUACGUUCCAUUUUAUCGGAUAAGGCGACACCAGAAGAACUACUACGACUGUGCCCCGGUUCACCUGGACGAGCACCUCAGUAGAGAAAGCUGAAAACUGACUGUCAUGAUACAGCGCGAGACUGGUCAACCACUCGAUGACCCUGCGGAAUCCUCGCGAUUCCUCUGCAUUAACGAAGGACCGAUUUCCCGGUCACGUACAUACGCACACCAUAUCCGGCUGAACGCGAAAGUACCAGGGGCUAUAUAGUAGCCCCACCGUCAAACUCAUAUGGCUAAGUGAAAGUGUUAAAGCUAUAUAGUCUGAUUGCCUGGUUCACCGUGCUAUCACCUCCUUAAUGGACCAAGACGUUGGAUCAAGUGUGAUUACGCGCGUUCCCGAACACCCCCGCACUAUAUGCGUGGGGGUUGAAGCCGACGACUGCAAACUUUCAGGAUACAUAUAUAUACAUAAACGGCCGCACAAGAGGCAUUAUAAUACUUCCAGGCAAAAGUAUAAAAACAGCCUUUAUAAUCAAAAUAGCGUUGUCUUUACAAUCGCGAUACAUGUCUUUCGAACAUGGCACUCUUCGAGCACUGAGCCUCUAUUAAACGAGCGCCUUCUAAGACUUCUUCGAAAUAAUGCUCGGCCGGGUCCUGGCCAUCCACCACACUACGAGUCACAAUUGUGGUGGCUUCCAUCCUAGCCCAGUGUGUUUUAACACGGGCAAGAGCCAUUCGCGCACCCUCUAUGCACGCCGACCUCUUCACAUUGUCGAUAUGCGACACAACACCAAUGAAUUGUUGCACUAAUCCAAAAUAAUUGUCCGGCCUUGGCCCUUGUGGCCAAAGAUGAUCCACGACAGACCUCAUAGCAAGCCCGGACAACCUGUGGAGUUUGACCCACACGGCCAUCUUUUCAUUUAAUGGCAGUGGACGCGUCGGGGCACUGAACUGCGACUAGAAUAACCUCUUAGCCUUAUGGUCCUUCCGAUCUUUAUAAAACUCAGAUGCAUCAGCAGCACUCUUUGCCAGGUCCGCAUAUGCGUCCGCCGCACUCCACAACUGAUCUAGAGGGGCAUACUUCGGAUCUCCAAACUUCAUCCACAACAGAUAGGGCUUUCCAGACACAAUAUCUCCGGCUUCACGAAGCUCCUCCUUCAUCCCCCUCAUUUCAGAGCGGGUUUCCUUGGCUGCCUCUAGGGCCUUCUUCAAGUCAGCUGCUUUUGCUUGAUUCUCCUUUUCAAGGAGCUUGCGGCGGUUAGCGGCAUCUUCCAUCUCGGUAGCCAUCUGAGCCAUCUUUUCUUCGCUCCAGCUACAAGAAGCCUGUUCGGCUUUUAACUCCUCGACCGCCUUAAGAGCGGCUGCAUCAGUUAUCCGGGCUUGCUCCUUGGCUCGGGCAAGCUCCGCCCGAAGGGUCUCCACGGCAGCAGCUCCAUCUGCAGUAACAACAUAUCAUAGAUACUAGCAUCAUGCUCCUCUUAAAGGUUUUGCUGAUAAGCCGAAUAUACAUACCCUGGGCCUCGUCAAGCCGCUUGUUAACAAGCGUGAUGUCGGCAUCGACCACGUCUAGCUGCCACUUUAGUUCGGCAAAAUCAGCAAAUCGAUCGGCCGCCAAACCCUCAGCCACCUGCACAUAAAGCAGUGCGAUUAUUAAUAGAGAUUAUGAUCCUCUGUCCGCCACGUUGAUGGCAAUCAGAGUCUCAGGGGCUACUAUCCAUAUAGAGCACACAUAGAAUGUGCGGAACCAUCAAAAAUACAUUUUUUUGCGUACCUCAAAGCCUCUUAGCAGACUCAUAAAAGCCUCGUUCAAACCGCCUUUCGCGUAUGAAAUCCUCUCAACUAUUGUGCCCAUUAAGGCACGAUGUGUCUCGGAGAUGGCCACUCGCUCCAGAAGGCCCAUUAGGGUGUUCAGCUGUGCGCCGGACAAUCCCAGACUCCCCCUCAAACUCUCCUUGGGAGCCAGAUAUCCCAGACUCCCGGCGACCGAAGUAUCAACUUCUGGCCUUGGCGGAUCAAGAGAAAUCCUCCGUGACGACAAUUCGGGGUCAUCCGCCCUAUGUGACGGGGAGGCAGGGGGAGGCGACUCACUCUCCAUCAUCUCUGGGGGAAGAUCCCCCGAGGAUGAACUCUGUGGAGAAGGGCUAUGAGCCGGACUGCAAGAAAUAUGUUUUGGUCAUUAUCCUCAAGAAAAUAAACAGGGUAUGUCUACCAAAGUACUCUCUCACUUACGGCUCGGUGGAGGGCCGGUCCCCUUGUGAGGUCUUCUUCCCUCGUUUAGAAGCCUCUGUUUCCAAAUCUUCGGAGGUGGCCCUUUUCUUACCUUGGGGAGAGGGGAUUUUAGAUUCCCCUCCCCGAUUAUCCUCCUUCGCGGAGGCAUCUACUCCUCCAAUAUGGAUGUGUAGAAAAUGAGGCCCAUCUGUGGCUUCUCUGUUCCUCCCCUCGUCUUCGCCAGAUGGCACCUGAUACGGCACACGGUCAAGCAUCCUGGUCAACAAAGGAUUCGGCAAGCCUUCAGGAAGAGGGGCCGGACACCUAAUCCUCUCCGCCUUCUUCAGCCGGUCCUGGAAGAGAACGUUUUUUAGUUAUAAUAAAUAUAAAGGAUGGUGUGUUCGACAACAGAAGUAUUUACCGGGGUAUCCGUAUGGUUGCAAUUGAGACCCGCGUCCUCGGUGGUGUCCGGACACUUUAUUCGUGAUCCAAAGAAUAACCCGUACAUCUCUUUGAGCGUCAGGACAAAGAAUUUUUGAACGGUUCGCGGUCCUUCCGGGUUGAACUCCCACAUACAGAGAGGACGACAUUGGCAGGGAAGGACUUGACGGACCAGCAUCACUUGCAUUAUCUUGGCAAGACUGAUAUCCCUCUUGAGAAGGUCUGGGAUGCAGCUCUGCAAUGUCGGCAUGUUAUUUGCCGCCCCCCAGUCCAUCCCUUUGUUGACCCAUGACACCAGUUGGGGUGGAGGGCCCAGGCGAAACGCUGGAGCAGCCACCCGCUUUGUACCUCGGGGAGCGGUGAUGUAAAACCACUCCCGCUGCCAUAAAUCAGAGGUCUCCAUGAAAGAACCCUUUGGCCAUGGGGCGUCGGUGCCUUUGCUUAUUAUAGCGCCUCCGCACUCCGCGUGACGCCCGUCGAUCACCCUCGGCCUCACAUUGAAGGUCUUGAGCCAUAGGCCGAAGUGGGGUGUGAUGCGGAGGAAGGCUUCACACACGACAAUAAACGAUGAUAUGUGAAGAACGGAAUCCGGAGCUAGAUCCUGGAAAUCUAGUCCGUAAUAGAACAUGAGCCCUCUUACAAAGGGAUCAACGCUAAAACCUAGCCCUCGGAGAAAGUGGGAGAUAAAGACAAUGCUCUUGUUGGGCUCGGGAGUGUGGACAACUUGCCCUGGAGCAGGUAGCCUGUGCGGAAUCUCGGCAGUGAGAUACCUAGCCUCCCUAAGCUUCCGGAUGUCCUCCUCUGUGAAGGAGGAGGCCAUCCACCGGCCUUGAUUGGAUCCGGACAUGGUCGAAAGACCGAGGUGCUUUAGCUUGAGCCUUGGGUGUUGGAACUCGAGGUGGGGGAGGGGAAGGAUCGAGCGUGGAAAGAAAAAGACAGUCCUUGGCCCCUUUAUAAAGAGGAUGAAUAUCAAGCGUCCCCCGCGUGACCGUUUAGGACUUGCCUAAAGUCAAAGAGUCAUAUUAAACAAACAUGGUUGGGUUACCCACGCAAUCCGUGAUAAGGGGGGACACGAUCUCUGCUUCGACAAGACGUGCCAGUAAAACCGCGUCGCAGCGCGUGUAGUGGCUAGUUAUGAAAACGGUUCGAAUAAAGGCCGAACCGUGGCGUGAUGUCAUGCUAUAAAAGCUGUCUGCAGAUUAGAUUUGUGGAAUAUUAUACUCUCUAUGGUGGUAUGUGGAAUUUUUUUUGCAGAGCCGGACACGCCCCUUGUGUCCUAAACCUUCCAUGGAGUAUUCGGAGAAGGAACCCGCCUUGCAAUGCCGAAGACAAUAUGCGCGCCGGACUCAUCAUCAUUGAAGCCUGAUUCAGGGGCUACUGAGGGAGUCCUGGAUUAAGGGGUCCUCGGACAGCCGGACUAUAUACUUUGGUCGGACUGUUGGACUAUGAAGAUACAAGAUUGAGGACUUCAUCCCGUGUUCGGAUGGGACUCUCCUUUGCGUGGAAGGCAAGCUUGGAUAUUCGGAUGUGUAGAUUUCCUUCUCUGUAACCGACUCUGUGUAAGCCUAGCGCCUUCUGGUGUCUAUAUAAACCGGAGGGUUUAGUCCGUUGGACAAGAACAAUCAUAGUCAUAGGCUAGCUUCUAGGGUUUAGCCUCUACGAUCUCGUGGUAGAUCAACUCUUGUAAUACUCAUAUCAUCAAGAUCAAUCAAGCAGGAAGUAGGGUAUUACCUUCAUCGAGAGGGCCCAAACCUAGGUAAAACAUCGUGUCCCUGCCUCCUAUUACCAUUAGCCUUAGACGCACAGUUCGGGACCCCCUACCCGAGAUCCGCCUGUUUUGACACCGACACCGACCAAUCAAGCACCGAACAUACAACACCUCCGAGUUCUGCACACGUUCAACUUGAUGAUGUCCCUCGAACUCUUGAUCCAACAAAGUGUCGAGGGACAGUUCCGUCAGCACGACGGCGUGGUGAUGGUGAUGGUGAGGUGAUCCGUGUAGGGCUUCGCCUAAGCACUACGAGAAUAUGACCGGAGGCGUAAACUGUGGAGGGGGGCACCGCACACAACUAACAAUUGUUGGUGUGUGUUCUAGGCACCCCUCCUCACGUAUAUAUAGGCUGGAGUGGGAGGGGGACAACUUUGAGGCACCCCAAGUAGGAGGAAUCCAACUUGGGUGCCUCCUCCAAUUCGGCCUUUCCCCUUACUUGUAUACGGAAGGGGGAAGGAAAGAGGGGAGAGGGGGAAGGAAAACGGGGAGAGGGGGAAGGAAGGGGGAAUCCUAUUCCCUCUCUUUCCUUUCCUCCUCCCCUUUUCCUUCUCCACUUUGGAUGGACCAUAUGGGGGGCACACCGGUCCCUUGUGGCUGGUGUGUUUCCCCUCUUGGCCCAUAAGGCCCAUAUCUUUUGCCGGGGUGCCCGGAACCCCUUCUGGUGACCCGAUAUGUACCCGGUACCCUUCAGAACACUUGCGGUGUCCGAAUACCAUCGUCCUAUAUAUCAAUCUUUACAUCUCGACCAUUUCGAGACUCCUCCUCAUGUACGUGAUAUCAUCCGGGACUCCGAACAACAUUCGGUCACCAAAUCACAUAACUCAUAUAAUACAAAAGCGCCAUCGAACGUUAAGUGUGGGGACCCUAUGGGUUCGAGAACUAUGUAGACAUGAACGAGACACCUCUCCUGUCAAUAACCAACAGUGGAACCUGGAUGCUCAUAUUUCUUCCUACACAUUCUACGAAGAUCUUUAUCGGUCGAACCACAAUGACAACAUACGUAAUUCCCUUUGUCAUCGGUAUGUUACUUGCCCGAGAUUUGAUCAUCGGUAUCUUCAUACCUAGUUCAGUCUCGUUACCGGCAAGUGUCUUUACUCGUUCCGUAAUACAUCAUCCCGCAACUAACUCAUUAGUCACAUUGCUUGCAAGGCUUAUUAUGAUGUGCAUUACCAAGAGGGCCCAAAGAUACCUCUCCGAUACUCGGAGUGACAAAUCCUAAUCACGAUCUAUGCCACCCCAACAAACACCUUCGGAGAUACCUACAAAGCAUCUUUAUAAUCACCUAGUUACGUUGUGACAUUUGAUAGUACACAAGGUAUUCCUCCGGUAUCCGGGAGUUGCAUAAUCUCAUAGUCAAAGGAAUAUGUAUAUGUCAUCAAGAAAGCAAUAGCAAUAAAACUUAACGAUCAAUAUGCUAAGCUAACAGAUGGGUCUUGUCCAUCACAUCAUCCUAAUGAUGUGAUACCGUUCGUCAAAUGACAACACAUGUCUAUGGUUGGGAAACUUAACCACCUUUGAUUAACGAGCAAGUCUAGUAGAGGCUUACUAGGGACACAGUGUUUUGUCUAUGUAUCCACACAUGUAUCAAGUUUCCAGUUAAUACAAUUCUAGCAUGAAUAAUAAACAUUUAUCAUGAUAUAAGGAAAUAUAAAAUAGCAACUUUAUUAUUGCCUCUAGGGCAUAUUUCCUUCAGUCUCCCACUUGCACUAGAGCCAAUAAUCUAGUUCACAUCGCCAUGUGAUUUAACACCAAUAGUUCAGAUCUUUAUGUGAUUAACACCCAUAGUUCACAUCGCCAUGUGAUCAACACUCAAAGGGUUUACUAGAGUUAAUAAUCUAGUUCACAUCGCUAUGUGAUUAACACCCAAUGAGUACUAAGGUGUGAUCAUGUUUUGCCUGUGAGAGAAGUUUAGUCAAUGGAUCUGCCACAUUCAGAUCCGUAUGCAUUUUUAGAAAUUUCUAUUUCUACAAUGCUAUGCAUGGAGCUACUCUAGCUAAUUGCUCUUAGUUUCAAUAUGUAUCCAGAUUGAGACUCAGAGUCAUCCGGAUUAGUGUCAAAGCUUGCAUCGACGCAACCCUUUACGACGAACUCUUUGUUAACUCCAUAACCGAGAAACAUUUUCUUAGUCCUCUUUAGGUACCUAAGGAUAAUUUUGACCAUUUCCAAUGCUCUACUCCUGGAUCACUAUUGUAUCCCCAUGCCAAACUCAUGGCAAGGUACACAAUAGGUCUGGUAUGCAGCAUGGCAUACUUUAUAGAACCUAUGACUCAGGCAUAGGGAAUGACUUCCAUUCUCUGUCUAUCUUCUGCCGUAGUCGGGUUUUGAGUCUUACUUAACUUCAUACCUUACAAGUCAGACAAGAACUCCUUCUUUGACUGACCCAUUUUGAACUCAUUGAAAAUCUUGUCAAGGUAUGUACUUAUUGAAAGUCUUAUCAAGCGUCUUGAUCUAUCUCUAUAGAUCUUGAUGCCCAAUAUGUAAGCAGCUUCACCGAGAUCUUUCUUUGAAAAACUCCUUUCAAAUACUCCUUUAUGCUUUCUAGAAAAUUCUACAUCAUUUCCGAUCAACAAUAUGCCAUUCAUGUAUAUUUAUUAGAAAGGAUGUAGUGCUCCCACUCACUUUCUUGUAAAUACAGGCUUCACCGCAAGUCUGUAUAAAACUAUGGGAUUUUAUUUCUAUGCCCCUGGUUCCUUAGCUCUACUCAUUCAUCCCCACUCUGUUAACUUUUGCUUACUUUUCCCCACUCCCUUGCCCGAAACCCUCAGAACAGGUUAUAACGGACGUUGCCGUCGGGUCAAUGCCUUUGACCGUUAGCUGACGAGUGGGGCCACAUAUACGUGGGCGUAUGCAAGACCAUGGUCGUGGGGUAGCACGUGUCCAUGGACAUGCCCGAAACGUCCCAUCUUAUAAAGAGGGCGACCACCUCCAUCGCCCCUACCAUUUCCCCCCAAAUCCCCUCACUGCCGCAUCGUCUUCCUCUCCCCAACUGGUGUCGUCUCGCUCUCCUCCACUGCCUCCACCACACAGUCUCGUUCUCCCCUCCGCAUCCUCUUCCUCACCUUCAUCGCCUCCAUCUGUCAGAUGGCCGACGCUCAUGACGAUGCUGGCACAAUGGCCGGAGAUGUGGUGGAGCUGCAGGUUCAGGGCGCGAUGAUCGUGGAUGUCGACGGCGUCCAUGGCGGUGCGGGGAAACUCUCAACCACUAUGGAUGUGGCGGGCUUCGCCUCAUUGCUGCAGAAGGUGACGGUGUCAAGCGGCACAGUACAUCCCGGUGCCCCCGUUGUGCCGCCUGCCGUCGAGGAGCAGGUAUUUGCACUUGCUUAGCUUGUAGAGUUAGUUUCUCCCUAGUUGCAUGGGUUAGAUUGUGGUUCAUACAGUAGUUCAGAUGGUUAGAGUAGUUGGUUUGACGGAUGGGCCGGGUUGGGGGGAUGGGGUUUUUUGGACUAGGGUUUGUUGGAUAAAUUCAUUGCAAAAAUGCUAGCUAGAUGUUGUAAACUAUGAUUUUAGGUGUUGCAAUGAUUGGGGUUUUUAGAUUUGGAUAAAUCCGUUGCAAAAAUGCUAGAUGUUGUGAAUAGAUUGGGGUUUUUAAUGCUAUGAUUCUUAUUAGAUUUGUUUUUAGUGCUCAUAGAAUGGGGUUUUUAAUGCUACUCAGAUUCGUUGCCUUAGAUUUGGUCCCUGUUAGAUUUGUUUUUGAAUGCUACUCAGAGUAGGGUUUUGAAUGUCAUAUGCCCAAAUGGAAUCCAUUGAUUAAGACGUUAUUUGAUUCAUUAGUAUAUAAAUUUUUCCACAAUAUAUAGUUAUAUUAGCUCUGUUCUUCAAUGUGUGUGCAUGACCAAUGAUCAAUGUGUUAUAUUCAUGUCAUAUUGGGGGUUUUGAUAAACGUGUGUACAAAUCUAAUACAUUGAUAUACUAGUGAUGGAUGUGGUUUUUGAAUGCAUAGAGCUAAGGGGGACAGAAAUAAAAAAAACCACUUCUAAAACAUUUAUGAUAUUGGGAGUAUAUUAGCCCUAUGAUCAAUGUGUCAUGUAUGCAUAUCUAAAUUUUCAAUUGGCUACUAGUGAUGGAUGUAAUUGUAUAUUGAGGAGGAUGAUGGUUGGGGGGGAGAAAGAGGAACCUGGCCGACUACGACCCGUACGAGGGGGCGUUUAGUGACGAUUCUGAAUAUGAGGUAAGCACAUCCCUUGUUCAUUUAGUUCCUUUGGCAUGGUGUAUAUGAAUCUAUAAUGUAUUAAUGCAAUUCAUUCAUUUGUGCAAUAUGAUUCUGGAGAUGAUGUGUACAAGGGCAAUGUCGCGUCCUUCACAGCCAAGGAGGUGGAGAAGAUCAAGGCCAAGGGAGUUGCUUCCUUCUACAACCGCAAGUUCAAGAAGUGGCACUGCCCCUACUGCACCACCAAGCCAAAGCCAAGGGAUGGACGCUUCGAUCACCUUCUGUUUCAUGCUGAGGAUGUGGCAAUUCGCGGGGAGGACUACAUGAUCAGGUGGCAGCCUGCCGCCCUCGCGAAGGCCUUGACUCCGGCAUGAUGUGAUCGAUGAUGUGAUGUUGUGUUACUUUUGGUUUGGUUUGUUGAACUAUUGGGUUACUUUUGGUUUGUUGAAGUGAAUCUCGUUGGUUAUGGUUUGUUGAACUGAAUCUCUCGUUGGUUAUGCUAGUAAUCUGGUUGCUAUCUAUAUUUGUCUGUCCUUAAAUUUGCAUGUGGUAUAUUUGUCUGUCCUGAAACUAUGGUUAGAUAUGUUUAGAUGUUGUGAACUAUGAUCUUAGGUGCUGCAAUGAUCACACAUGUUGUGUAGGAAAUCAAAUGCAUGCUCCAAAUGAGAUCAUUUAAACCUUGGCAAACCUGGACAGUACAAAUUCAAGAAAAUGCAAAAACAAGUAAAACCUUGGCAAACUAUCUAUGUUUCUGUAGGAGAUCAUGUGUGCAAAAUUUGAAGUGAUUUAGAGGAGGUCAAAUAAAUUUGAAUUUGAGAAAAUGUGCUCCAAAUGAGCUCCCAGGCUAGGGUAAACAGCCCAUUUCUAAUCAAGUUCUUUGGAACCUACUCUAAAUGAGCCAAAUGUUUUUUUAUUAACACAUAUUCACUUUCCAUAGUGUAGAUUCGAAGUCUCACUAUUUUCUGAAUUAAUCUUCAUAUUUUUACAUUUUCUUUUGAAAACAUAUGCUUUAAUAUAAAAACUAUUAAAACACAUUUUAAAAUAUGAAAAUGGAAAACUAACUUCAGAUCCUUCUUAUUCACUUUAAAAUAAAGCUUUAGUGAUUUUUUUGAUUUUUUUUAAAAAUUUUCAAAAACGGAAGGUAACACCACCUCCUCUCCUUGAACUCUAUGAAAUCAUGUACAUGUUAGCUCAUAUGUGUGAAGGUUUUCUCAUGAAAAUGGCCAUAGACCAAGUUUAUGAUUUUUGGUUGGUAACAUGUCACAUAAUACAACAUUGUGCGCAGGUUAUAUUUAUUUUUUGAUUUUUUUUAAAUUAAUGGUGCUCAUUUGACCCCGGUCGUGCCAGCUAGGGUUUUUUCAUGAAAAUGACCAUAGACUGAUACGUCUCCAACGUAUCUAUAAUUUUUGAUUGCUCCAUGCUACUUUAUCUACUGUUUUGGACUAUAUUGGGCUUUAUUUUCCACUUUUAUAUUACUUUUGGGACUAACCUAUUAACCGGAGGCCUAGCCCAGAAUUGCUGUUUUUAGCCUAUUUCAGUGUUUCGAAGAAACAUAAUAUCAAACGGAGUCCAAACAGAGUGAAAUCUUCGGGAUCGUGAUUUUCCAACCGAACGUGAUCCAGGAGACUUGGACCCUACUCCAAGCAGUGCCCAAGGAGGUCACGAGGGUGGAGGGCGCCCCCCCUGGGCGUGCCCCCUACCUCGUGGGCCCCUCGAUGCUCCACUGACGUACUCCUUCCUCCUAUAUAUACCUACGUAUCCCCGAACGAUCAGAACAGGAGCCAAAAACCUAAUUCCACCGCCGCAACCUUCUGUAUCCACGAGAUCCCAUCUUGGGGCCUGUUCCGGAGCUCCGCCGGAGGGGGAAUCCACCACGGAGGGCUUCUACAUCAUCACCAUAGCCCCUCCGAUGAAGUGUGAGUAGUUUACUUCAGACCUUUGGGUCCAUAGCUAGUAGCUACAUGGCUUCUUCUCUCUUUUUGGAUCUCAAUACAAUGUUCUCCCCCUCUCUCAUGGAGAUUUAUUCGAUGUAAUAUUCUUUUUGCGGUGUGUUUGUUGAGACUGAUGAAUUGUGGGUUUAUGAUCCAGUAUUAUCUAUGGAAAAUAUUUGAUUCUUCUCUGAAUUCUUUUAUGUAUGAUUGAGUUAUCUUUGCAAGUCUCUUCGAAUUAUCCUUUUUGGUUUGGCCAACUAGAUUGGUAGUUCUUGCAAUGGGAGAAGUGCUUAGCUUUGGGUUGAAUCUUGUGGUGUCCUUACCCAGUGACAGAAGGGGCAGCAAGGCACGUAUUGUAUUGUUGCCAUCGAGGAUAACAAGAUGUUUUUUAUUUAUCAUAUUGCAUGAAUUUAUCCCUCUACAUCAUGUCAUAUUGCUUACGAUGUUACUCUGUUUUUAACUUAAUACUCUAGAUGCAUGCUGGAUAGCGGUCGAUGAGUGGGGUAAUAGUAGUAGAUGCAGAUUUGUUUCGAUCUACUUAUUUUGGACGUGAUGCCUAUAUACAUGAUCAUUGCCUAGAUAUACUCAUAACUAUGCUCAAUUCUAUCAAUUGCUCAACAAUAAUUUUUUCACCCACCGUAGAAUACUUAUGCUCUUGAGAGAGGCCACUAGUGAAACCUAUGGCCCCCGGGUCUAUUCUCAUCAUAUCAAUCUAUAUCACUUUAUUUACUUGCUUUGUUUUUACUUUGCCUUUUGCUUUUUACUUUGCAUCUACCUAUCAAAAAUACCAAAAAUAUUAUCUCUAUCAGAUCUCACUCUCGUAAGUGACCAUGAAGGGAUUGACAACCCCUAAGCGUUGGUUGCGAGUUGCUAUCAUUUUGUGUAGGUACGAGGGACUUGUGCGUGGUCUCCUACUGGAUUGAUACCUUGGUUCUCCAAAAUUGAGGGAAAUACUUACGCUAUUUUGCUGCAUCAUCCUCUCCUCUUCGGUGAAAUCCAACACAGUGCUCAAGAGGUAGCAAGAAGAAUUUCUGGCGCCGUUGCCGGGGAGGCUCAUGCAAGCAAGUCAACCAUACCAAGUACCCAUCACAAUCCCUAUCUCUCGCAUUACAUUAUUUGCCAUUUGCCUCUCGUUUUCCUCUCCCCCACUUCACCUUUGCCGUUUUAUUUGCCCUCUCUUUCCCAAUCUCCUCCUCUCUUUCCCGUUUGCCUUUUUUCCCUUUGCCUUUCUGUUUGCUUGUGUGUUAGUUUGCUUGUUUGUCAUUAUGACUAGUCUCUGAUCUUCUCCAUUAUCUCCCGAGAAUGAAGUUCUAAAUUUUAAGCAAAGGGAGGGAGAAAAUCUAAAAGAUGCUUGGUAUAGAAUUUGCAAUGCUCAAAAUAAAUCUACCAGGAAGCAAUCUACUUCAGUUCUUCUUCGCAAUUUUUACGUAGGUGCUAAUCCUUGGUAUAGAUAUAUCCUUGAUACUAUCACCGGAGGGAUUUUUUUCUGUAGCCAUACUUUUGAUUCUUAUAAUGCUCUAAUAGAUAUAUCUGGCUCACCACCCCUUUUGAUUAAUGGAACUACGUUAACUUUGGAGCAUGUUAUGCAAAGGCUUGAAGCUAUUGAAAAUAAAGUUGCUACCAUUGAAUGAAUUGAAAAUCUUGAUAAAAAGAUCCACAAUCAAAUUACCCAAUAUGGAUCUAAGGUAGGAAUGACUUUGAAAAAUAUUAAAGAAAAAGAUCCCAUAGUUAAUGAAAAAAUAAAUCUAGACUCUACAAGAAUCGAUAAACUUGAGGGUAUCAUUACUAACUUGGGAACCACUUUUUCUUCCGUGCAAAAUAAUCCAAGUUCGUCUACCAAAAAAAUACUAAGCUUAUUUAUGUUCCUAAAAAUAAGGGUGAAUCAUCUAGUAAGGAAACUGCGAAUCUUAAAUCUAUAAGCGUUCAUCCCAAUCUUUUUUCCAUCAUUAAGGAACCUUUUGCUAUGAAUGAAUUUUUCGAUCUUUUGCCUAAAAAAUUAACAGUUACUAGAAAGAAAGAAAAUUCCAAAGGAUGUAGAUGCCUCAUUGAAGAAUUGCCUACCAAAUAUGGCAAUACCUAGAUCUAUCCUUGUUUUUAUGCCUAGCUAGGGGCGUUAAACGAUAGCGCUUGUUGGGAGGCAACCCAAUUUUAUAUUGUGUUUUUUGUUUUUGCUUCUGUUUAGGAAUAAAUAAUCCAUCUACCUUCUGUUUGUAUGUGGUUUUAUGUUUUAAUUAGUGUUUUUGCCAAGUAGAACCUAUAGGAUAACCUACGAUGAUAGUUGACUUGAUUCUGCUGAAAAACAGAAACUUUGCGCGCACGAAUUUAGUUAUGAUAAAUCACAGGUACGUGAUUUUGCGUUUAUUCUUUUUUCUUCUGAUCAAUAACCUAAUUUUCCAGGACUUCCUAUUUUGGUAGAAUGUUUAGAGUUCCAGAAGUUUGCUUUAGUUACAGAUUGCUACAGACUGUUCUGUUUUUGACAGAUUCUGUUUUUCGUGUGUUGUUUGCUUAUUUUGAUGAAUCUAUGGCUAGUAAAUUAGUUUAUAAACCAUAGAGAAGUUGGAAUACAGUAGGUUUAACACCAAUAUAAAUAAAGAAUGAGUUCAUUACAGUACCUCGAAGUAGUCUUUUGUUUUCUUUCUCUAACGGAGCUCACGAGAUUUCUGUUGAGUUUUGUGUUGUGAAGUUUUCAAGUUUUGGGUGAAUUCUUUUGAUGGAUUAUGGAACAAGGAGUGGAAAGAGCCUAAGCUUGGGGAUUCCCAUGGCACCCCCAAGAUAAUCCAAG
rnacentral:lncRNA from 1 species